GAAAGUUUUCAAGGUCAAAACUAUCUUUAAAUGGUUUUCUCAGGUAGCAUUUGGUUCGGGAACAAGGGGAGAAAUAAGCCCUUGUUCCCCCGUUUAUUCCCAAACGGUAUGUUUGGUUUUUGGAAACAGUAGUUUUCGAAUUUCUGGAACAAACUGGUAUAAGGCUGGAACUGUUGUUCCACCCGUUUCCUGAAACUAACUUGUUUCUUGAUGAGAACAAGGUUAAUUAAAAUCUAAAUUUAAUUUUAAUGGUAGCAAAUUAUUAAUUAAUCUAAUUAAUAUAUUUAAAUUAUUAUUUAUUGCUUUAAUAAUUAAAUAAUUAAAUAAUUUAUUAUUUAUAAUUAAUUAUUAAUAAUUAGAUAAUAAUUAUUAUUAAUUUAUUAUUUAUAAUUAAUUGUUAAUAAUUAGAUAAUUAUUAUUAUUAAAGCAAUAAAUAAUNUAUUAAUAAUUAUUAUUCUUAAUAAUAAUCAAUAUUAUUAUUAAUUUAUUAUUUAUAAUUAAUUAUUAAUAAUUAAUAAUAAUUAUUAUUAUUUAUUAAUAAUUAUUAAUAAUUAUUAUUCUUAAUAAUUAGAUAAUCGAUCUUAUUAUUAAUUUAUUAUUUAUAAUUAAUUAUUAAUAAUUAUUAUUAUUUAUUAAUAAUUAAUAAUAAUAAUAAUAAUUAUUAUUAAUUAGAUAAUCUAUAUUAUUAAUUUAUUAUUUAUAAUUAAUUACUAAUAAUAAUAAUUAUUUAUAAAUAAUUAUUAAUAAUUAAUUUAUUAUUUAUUUUUAAAUAAUAUUUUGAUGUUAAUUAAUCAUAUAAUAUAAUUUCAAUUUCAAAUUAUAAUUCUUAUUUCUCUUGUUCCAAUCUAAUCAUCCAAACACUAGUUACCUUAUUCUUAGGAACAACCCAAUUUUCAUCCAAACGCAAAAUUGGUCUAGUUUCUGUUUAUACCUAAACUUCUACCUAUCCCUGGAACUAGUAGUUCUUACUUAUACCUGAACCAAACGCAGCCUGAUCAGAGUCCUUUUAUGUAUUUCUACAAGUCAAGAAAUUCGAUGUCUUUGUCAGUAUACAUGAAAGUUCAAGUGAUUUUCAAAUUUAUUUUGUAGUAUGAUUUAAAAAUAUGAUAGAAGACAGUCUCAUCUUUCAAGGUUAGAAAAAAGCUUAUCACAUUUUAAGCUCUAAUGAUUGAUGGAUUAGGUUUUGUUGAAGAUAUUAUGGGUUCUCUCAACAACUUAGUGUCAUUCAAUGCAAACGAAAUCAAUUCAACAGAAAGCAUUUUAUUAUUGUCUUCAUUUAACCCUCCUCUGAGAUGUAGGAAUGAGUCCUCUUGGUAUCUUUCUAAUAGCAUUCUAGCCUUGAACCCUGCUUGGUAGGUUGAAAUUCUAUUGAUCAAGUCCUCUUUAAAUUCUUUUCUUUUUGGUUUGAAAUUUCUUAUUAGUGAUUGUAUCCUUAUACUCUUGCUCUCGAAAUUUUGAGAGCUCUCUCUCUCUCUCUCUCUCUCUCUCUCUCUCUCUAAGCAUGUAUACUAAGCAAUGUAGACGUAUGUAAUGAAUGAAUGAUAAUUUUCUUCCUUGCUUUCAAGCUACUCGGCGAUCUAAUUUAUAUCGACAUGGUAAUAUUAGAAGGAAACAAAAAUUGCAUCACAGAACCACAAUCUUUUUGCGCAAAUUCUAGCUCAGGAAUUAUACUAAACAAUAUGCUUUCUGUUUUGUUCGAUCUGAUUUCAACUCCAAACUCUUUACUCUUCUAUUUUGCAAUAUCACUAGGAUUGAGUGAUACCUUUUGUAUUAUUACUGCUGUUGUAUUCUAAUAUGAUGCUUUAGUUUAAUUUGUUAUGGAAUUUUUAUUGUUUCCAUACUAUUGUGACAAUUUCCUUCUAUUUUGGAAUUGGACUUUUCCUCAAGUUGAUAGUCAUAUGCUUCUGUGGACAUGAGAUUACCUUUUGCCCUAAUCAAUUUAGGUGCUAUAUAUAUUGUUUGCUCAAUUUCUUAUACUUGAUAUGUAUAUAUUUGGAUAUGUAUAUAUUGGAUAUGUACAAAUUUGCUUGGUUCUAUAUUCAAGUGCUACAUUUACUUGAUUCUUAUAUUUGUUCACUUUGUACAAUGAUUUUCGUAUCUUUGUUGUAUUAGGUAUAUUACUUACACCAAAGAAGAGGAUACACUACUUAGCCCAUUUGCUUUCGCUUGGUGAUUUGUCAUCAGUUUAUUGUGGACUCUAUAGCCUCGCCGCCUGCUCUCUCUCUACUGAAGUUGUAAUUGAUGAUAGAAUAUUAAAUAGUGGGGUAAGUUUGAUGGCCGAGCGCAACUCUUCUAUGUAUUAAUAGUUUUAAAACUAUUGAUUGGCAAGAAAGAAAGAAAAGUGUUUUACAUGAUGCAAAAAUGCAGACAAAAAUCUAACUAUCUAAGCUCAUAUUCAUCGAAUUUCUUUUCCAUUUAUUUGUUUUGGUUUGUUGCCCAUCAAUUGUGUAGUAGCUUUGUUUCUACUCCCUUCUUUCCCGUUGUUGAGUACUAUCCAUCUGUUAUUUUGUGAAUCAGAUAUAUAUCAUAUAACAACAUCAUAAUGAUAACUGCAUUUGCUAUUAUUUUACUCUUAUCCAAUUUACAUAUUAUUUACUUAAGCUUUUAAUUAUUUCAUCUCAAAUUUCUUAUCUAUUAAAAUUGUCUUCUUUUUUUUGGUUGGAUUCUAGCUGUAUAAGAUUGAGAGCUGUAGUAUAUUGAGAUAAAGGUUUCUUAAGAUACAUAGCAAUUGAUGAAAGUCCUCUGAUUCAAAAAUUGGGUUUUUAAGUCUGAGAAUUUGUGCACAAAAACAAGUUGUUUAUAGAUGGUAAUGUACAAAAAUUAUGUUCAUUCUAUUUUUUUUUUUUUAUAUUUGUAGAAUAUAGUAUUCUCUCCUUACUAGGAUAACUUUAUCUUUAGAUUCACAUGUUUCGCUAACAUAGAGCAAAACUUCCUAUCAUCAUUUUUAUGCAUUGGAAGAGCUGGUUUUCUUAUUGCUUUUGGAUUUUUUUUUUCUAUUUUUACGUGUUCUGCAGUAUGAAGGUCAUAAUGUUUUGUUGGUUAAUUAUUAUUAUUAUUAUUAUUAUUAUUAUUAUUAUUAUUAUUAUAUAUAUAUUGGUUUAUUUCUAUAGAAUCAAUCCGCCGCAACGCGCGGGCCCCUAUGCUAGUGUAAUUAAUUUGAUAAUUCUGCAAAGACUUGGUUGUCUAAAUAGUUAUUAGAAUCGAAAUAUUGAAUUUUGACAUAUAUUGAAUCAUGCAAGUAAUUGCAAAAAGAGUACAGCAGUAGGAAAAAAGCCCUAGAAAUAAUGAUUGCAAGUUUCUAAAAAUUUUGCAAGCAAAUCAUGGUACAAAUACAUAUAUUAUGUAAUCCAAUUGCAUUUACUACACAAAGUUGUAUAGCAAUGGAAGGAAGAAAGCCCUAAAAAAAGCGAUCAUAAAGUUUUAAGAUUUUGUAGGUAAAUUUUGCUUUUUAUUUUUGCAAGUAAUCUCUCAUGAUUGGCCAUUGAAUUACUGACAAAAUAUAUGGAUCAAAUUGAAGUGAUCUUUAAUAUUCUCUCUAGUUUAUUGGUGGAGAGACCCAUACCUUGACCAGGCUAAUAGGUAGUAAUUUCCCUUUUCUUUUUAAAAAAUCAAAAGCAUAUACUCUCAUGCUUUUGACCCUCAUCAAACCGAUCCUAGCAGCACCAAGCGCAAAAGCAAAUUCAAACUACCAAAAGCAAAUCUGUGUUCCCCAUAAUUGGUCACAUGGUGGAUAUUCUUUAAAUUCUAGGUCCCGUGAGAGGGUGAGAACAAUUGCGGCUAGUACACUUCAAUGUGGCAUUUGCGCAAACAGUUGGUAAGCGCCAAAACCAAGUCCCUCAAAACUCUACCAACCUGCUAUGGAUCGAAAGCAAAUUCCCUAACUAGAGUUCUCUGAGACAAUCCAACAAACUAUUUCUAAGCAUUGGCCAAAUCCAAUUCUAGCUCACUGCCACGGACAAAAUGUUUUCCGUUGACUUCUCCUUGACAGUGGCCCAUUCUCCAAAGGAGCGUUCUGUCGGAGGUUUUGCUAGGGCGUUCUAGAAGCUUCUACGCGGAUCUCAAGACUGAUAGUGCGGAUGCCGAAAGGUCAAGAGUCCCUUAGAGUUCUUAGGUGGGCAAUAAGUGUAGUCUCUUAGGAAUACGUAGCUUCCCUCUUUGCCUGGUAGUUAUGCGCCACUUGGUACCUUUUUAUUUGUAGCUUCGGUGGCGAGUGGCCUAUAUAAGGAUAUGGCCUCCACCCCUUCUCAUUAGGAAGGAAGGAAAUCUGUUGUACUCUCAACUUCUAUCAAUAUACAACAUUCCUCUCUCUCUCUCUCUCUUUGUUGUACUUAGUCUUAGGGCGAGGAGGUCCUGACUUAGCAAGUAGAGAGGUAGGCUUGCCCAUCUUCGAGCAGGAAGGCGGGCGCUGCACGGGCUAGACGAGCAGUUUCGUUUUAGUCCGUGACAAUUAGUAUCAGAUCCGGUUCGAGGAGGAACCAUGUCGACAUCGGAUGCUGCCGUCGUUGACGUUGUGCUUGAGCCCAGGGCGACCAAGUGCGGCAAGAGCAAGGAGCCGCAGACUCUGGCGACAGAGUCCGUCUCGCUGGACGACCGCGUAGGCGUGCUGGAGGACUCUGUUGCGAGAGCGGAGGAGCGCUACUCCGUCCUAUCCCAACAUGUGGGGAUGAUGGAGGAUAAGCUGCAUGCCAUGGAGGACAGCAUUGCGGCUGCCAUGGCGACUUUCCGUCAUCAGCUCGAGGAGUUCCGCAGAGAACUCCCCCGUCGCGAGGACAAGCGAAAGGUGCUGGUGGAGGAUCUCGUCACCAGGGUCGACGAAGUCGAGGACCUCAAGAUGCGGGUGACUAUUCUUGAGAAGGCGGUGGCUCGAGGCGUCGAGACGCAGAAGGAGUACACCCCAAGGAUCCGCGUCCUUGAACCCCAAUGCUUCAAGGGCAUGCGCGAUGAGAAGGAGAUAGAUAAUUUCCUUUGGCACAUGGAGCGCUAUCUCAAGGUGCUGCGAUUGGAGCACAAGGAUGACAAGGUCCAAACCGCAUCCAUGUACCUCGCCGACGACGCGAUGCUGUAGUGGCGACGGCGUUCCGCAGAGGCCGCGAAGGGCCAAUGCGAACUACAAACUUGGGAGGACUUUAUGCACGAGCUCAAGGCGCAGUUCUACCCAGAGCAUGUCGAAUAUCUUGCGCGGAGGAAACUUCGACGGCUCAAACAUCGAGGCACACUCAAGGAGUAUGUCCAGGAGUAAUCAAAACUCAUACUGGCAAUCUCCAGCAUGAUCGGCUAUUCUUCUUAGAUGGCCUUCAGCCGUGGGCAAACAAAGAGCUCGUGGCGCGAGAUAGGAAGGACCUAAACUCCGCGAUUGCUUUGGCGAAGAAGUUACCCAAGCGGGAGCGAACCAAGGGUGAUCGAGGUGAACCACCAAAGACGAGCGAGGCCAAGGGUGGGGGAGAGCACGCGAUUCAGGGGGAGCGAAGGGGCACAAGCCAAACCGUGAUACGAGGAGGCAAUGACAUAAUCCCGCCCUGCCACCUGCAAAGAUCUCUUGCUAUGUUUGCGGCGAGAACCAUUGGGCGCAGGACUGCCCAAAGAGGGGCAACCACAAUGGAAAGCAGGUUGCUGCGGUCCAAGCUGCUGAGGGCGAGGACGACGAUGUGGUCGAGCUGCCGAGAUGGGUGCGCUAAGGCUCGUCAACGUAGUUCGCAGUCAGCAAAUUGGCGACAAGCUCCGUAGAAGAGAGCUUAUGUUCGUCGAUGUGAUCCUCAAUGGGAGGACCAUGCGGGCGAUGAUCGACACCGGCGCGACGCACAACUUUGUCGCGGAGGCUGAGGCCAAGCGGUUGGGCCUCACACUCGAGAAGGAUGCGAGCCGCAUCAAAGCGGUCAACUCUGAGCCGCGGCCAAUCGCGGGAGUUGCCAAGGGCGUGGAGAUAGCCAUCAGCCCAUGGAGGGGCAAGGCUAAUCUCACUGUCGGGCUGUUCGACGACUUCGGAGUGAUCCUCGGGAUGGACUUCCUUAUUUCGUCGAAGGCAGCGCCUAUGCCACACUUGUGGGUGCUGAGCAUCAUGGGCGAGUCAGCACCGUGUAUGGUUCCGAUGUAUCGGGGCGAGCCGACGAAGGACCCAACUCUGACUGCCCUGCAGCUUUACGAGGAGGUGAAGUGCAGGAAGGCUGAGGAACUCGAGGAGGACCUGAGAAGCGGCGAGACUGUCAAGUCUCCUGUGGCGCUGAAGCAGCCAGCGCCCGAUCAAGGUUCAAGUCAUUCUGUAAAGCGGGAGUCCAAGGAGUCCAAGGGGCGUUCUGCGGCUUAGCAGAGUGCGCAUGCGUGUCGCGGAGGACAUGCACAUCCGGUGGAUUCUUCGCAGAGCAAGCUCGCUGGUGCACUUGCUCAGAGGGGCGAGACACUAGGUGCUGGUGCGAGGGCAGAUGCGGACUGCAGGAGCAAGGCACGGGGCCGAUCGCGCGCAAAGGCACGACGUACCGCACGGAAGGCUAUGCGGACCGGGAGCGACUCGGCGCACGACGAGGUCGUCUGCGCGUUAGGUGAGGGAGGUUGUCACGGACAAAAUGUUUUCCGCUGACCUCUCCUUGACAGUGGCCCAUUCUCCGAAGGAGCAUUCUGUCGAAGGUUUUGCUAGGGCGUUCUACAAGCUUCUAUGCGGAUCUCAAGAUUGAUGGUGCGGAUACCGAAGGGUGAAGAGUACCUUAGAGUUCCUAGGUAGGCAAUAAGUGUAGUCUCUCGGGAAUAUGUAGCUUCCCUCUUUGCCUUGUAGUUAUGUACCACUUGGUGCCUUUUUAUUCGUAGCUUGGGUAGCGAAUGGCCUAUACAAGGAUGUGGCCUCCACCCCCUCUCAUUAGGAAGGAAGGAAAUCUGUUGUACUCUCAACUUCUAUCAAUAUACAACAUUCCUAUCUCUCUCUGUCUCUCUUGUACUUAGUCUUAGGGCGAGGAGGUCCUGACUUAGCAAGUAGAGAGGUAGGCUUGCCUAUCUUCGAGCAGGAAGGCGGACGCCGCAUGAGCUAGACGAGCAGUUUCGUUUUAGUCCGUGACAUCACGCUACCUUCUACAUAUGGUAAAUAGAAUAUAUAUAUAUAUAUAUAUAUAACUAGGCUGGAAUACUAUCAAUAGCACCAAGCUAUUGGUGUUAUUGAUUUUUUAGCCCUUGGAUUGAGAAAUGUCUAGUUAGGAUGAUGUGGGCCCUCUAGGGUUGAGUGAGUGGUUGGUUGAAUAGUAUAAUCUAACGGAUAAAAUAAUCAGAGGGUUAAAUCUAAUGGUGGAAAACUCGAUAGCACCAAAUCCUUGGUGCUAUCGAUAGUACCCCAGCCGGACUCUCUAUAUAUAUAUAUAUAGUAGGUCUUGUGUGCUAUUAGGAGCACGGAGGCCUCCGUGCUCCUAAGCAAUUUUCGAUGAUGGAGCUUCCGAAUCGACGAUCGGCUCCGUUUGACUUGAUUUAGCAUAUUUGAACUAUUUAGAAAAUAAUUUUUGUGAUUUUUCAGUAUAAUUUUCCUAGCGAUCGAAAGGGUUCAAAAUCAACAAUUUUUAAUGAUUGUUGUAUACCGUUUGCAAGUUUAACGGUGUAGAAGUAUUCAAAUCAGGUGAAAUUUUGAUAGAAAAUUCUUUAUACUAUUUACAGCAAGAUCAAUAUGUUUGAUCGAAAAUUUUAAUGCUAUAUCACCAAUUUUUGUGAGAUUUUUAUUUUCAGCCGUUGAUUUUGAACCCGUUCAAUCGUUAGGUAAAUGAUAUCGAAAAGUCACAAAAUUUAUUUUCUAGAUACUUCAAAUAUGUUAGAUCAAGUCUAACGAAGCCGAUCGUCGAUUUGGAAGCUCCAUCAUCGAAAAGGGCUUAGGAACACGGAGGCCUCAGUGCUCCUAAUAGCACACAAGGCCUGCUAUAUAUAUAUAUAUAUAUAUAUAUAUAUAUAUAUAUAUAUAUAUAUAUAUAUAUAAUUGAGCGAGAAUACUUUUAGAAGCACCACCUUUUUGGUGCUUCUAAGUUUUUAACCCUUGUAUCUAUUCUUUGAUUAUUAAUAGCCUUUGGAACAAACACUAUUCCACCUACCACCUACCAGUAUCAUCCCAAUCCUAUAUUUCUUCAUCCAAAGGCUAAAAACUCAAAAGCACCAACUCUUUGGUGCUUUUGGAAGUAUUCUAGCUCAACUCUAUAUAUAUACACACACAUAAAGUUGGAAAUAUAGCAAGUCGUACCUCCAUACACGAGUUAGUUUAAGCUUUCGGUCUUCUCAUUGCAGGGACUAGGAAUUUCUUCCGCCCAUACCAUCAUUUAUUACUAGUGUAGGCCCGCGCUUCGCGGCGGAAAAUUUAUACAAUAUGUUUAAAAUUAAAAAUUUUUAACACCCAUUUGUUUAAAUCCUAAAAUUUGAAAUUAACAUUUUGAACAUUUAAAUGUUAAAAAAUAUAUUUUAUCUUAAUUCAAUUUGUAUAUUUUGAAUAUAUGAUUUUAGUUAGAGUUUUGUUGAUUCCUAAUCUUUCUAAUUCUAAACUUUUAUAUGCAUCGAAUAACUCGCUGUAAUUUUGAAUUUUGAGGAAUUCAGUUAGGUAAUUUGACAUUCCAUGAUAUAUUUAGUAAAUUAAUAUAUAUAAUUUUUAAAAUUUUGAACUUUAUAAUUUGAAUAUAAAAUUUAAAAUCUACAAUUCAGAAACUAAAAUGUAAAAUUUAAAACAGGAAAAUUUUAAAAUUUAGUUUUAGUAAUUAAGGAAAAAUAUACAAUUUUAAAUUUUAAGUUUUAAAUUUUAAAUUUCAAAUAACUAAUAUUUUAAUUCAUUAAAUAUAAAUUAAUUUAAAAAAAAUUCAAUUGUAAAUUAAAUAGUGAACAUUUCAAUUCAAAUGUUAAAAUUUAAAAAAUUUAGCUCGACAGUUUUAUAGAAUCUCGAAUUUGGCAAAACGUAGAACAAAAAUCAUCACAAAACUAAUAGUAAGCACAAACACUAAUAUUUGCAUAACACAACAUAUAAAUAUAAUCAUCAGAAGUACUGUGAUUCAGUGUAUCUUGUAAAGUUAAACUCAGCGAAUCAACCUUACAGAAUACGUUCUAAUUUACAUCCAGUAAACGCGAAUAGAAUAUAAAAAAUUUUUUAAGAUAUUGGUCUAUAAUCUUAAAUGAUUACAGGCAUUUAUCUACAGAUUCACCCACUUGAUUCAGAAAAUUUUGAGUUUGGCAAGCAUGGACGGAGAAUCACCAUAUCUGCAUAAAAUAUCGCCAAAAUAUUUUUUCUUUUUAAAUGUAACUUUUCUAUGUGCAUAAUUCUAUCAAAAUCUCAAUAAUUUACCAUUAAAUCUAAAUUUAAAUACCUUUUAAAUUAAAAAGUCAGAACUAAAUUAAAAUAAAAAAACCUCUAAAUCUCUAUAAGUAAAGAAGAGAGAAGGGCUAAAAAAAUAUCUCCGCCAAACUCCAUCCCUAACACUCACUGCGCACCCAACGUNNNNNNNNNNNNNNNNNNNNNNNNNNNNNNNNNNNNNNNNNNNNNNNNNNNNNNNNNNNNNNNNNNNNNNNNNNNNNNNNNNNNNNNNNNNNNNNNNNNNUUAGGACUAGUCGAGCACGGUUUGACUUCUACUCUAGGUAUAUGUGCUACAGCAAAAGACUAACUAGACCUAAGUAUAUGUGUUAGGGUUAGUCGAGCAUGUUUGACUUCCACUCUAGGUAUAUGUGCUAGAGCAAAAGACUGACUAGACCCUAAGUAUAUGGGUUUGGGUUAGUCGACCAUGGUUUGACUUCCACUCUAGGUAUAUGUGCUAGAGCAAAAGGCUGACUAGACCCUAAGUAUAUGUGUUAGGGUUAGUCGGAUGAACUCUAAGUAUAUAUGUCAGAGUUCGAAUAAACUUGCUAUCAUUUGACUGAAUUCUAAGUAUAUGACUUAGAACUCUGUCGAUUUGGAGAUGUUUUGCCUUAGUUAUAUGUGCUAAGGCGAUUGACUUAGCCCUAAGUAUAUGUAUUAGGGGUAGUCGAUAUUUAAUUUUUACUCUAGGUAUAUGUGCCAGAGUAAAAAAAGGUUCACGAUGAGAUUUGGGUAUUGGUUCAUGAGAUUUGAGUAUUGGCUCAUGAGAUUUGGUUCAUGAAUUUGGUGUAUGGACUUGGUUCAUGAACUUGGAUAUGGUUCAUAGAUUUGGUGUAUGGACUUGGUUCAUGAACUUGGAUAUGGUUCAUGGAUUUGGUGUAUGGAUUUGAUUCAUGAACUUGGAUAUGGUUCAUGGAUUUGGUGUAUGGAUUUUAUUCAUGAACUUGGAUAUGGUUCAUAGAUUUGGUGUAUGGAUUUGGUUCAUGAACUUGGAUAUGGUUCAUGAAUUUGGUGUACGGACUUGGUUCAUGGUUCAAGAAAUUUGGGUUUAGUUUAACGACUUUUCGGUCGUUUGGAUUUGGGUUUAGUUUAACGACUUUUCGGUCGUUUGAAAUUUGGGUUUAGUUUAACGACUUUUCGGUCGUUUGAAAUUUGGAUUUAGUUUACCGACUUUUCGGUUGUUUGAAAUCGAGAUGUUCAUGAAGCUGAUUCAUGAAAUUAAUUCAUGCUAGGAGCCCAUUUGUAAAGUCCAUUGAAUUAAUUGAUGAAAUUAAUUCAUGAUAGGGGCCAUUUGGAGAGCCCAUUGAAUUAAUUCAUGAUAAGGAGCCAUUUGGAGGGCCCAUUAAUUCAUGAAAUUAAUCUAUGACAAGGAGGGCUCAUAAAAUUAAUUCAUAGAAUUAAUCCGUGAUAAAGGGCCUAUUUGGCAAACCCAUGAAAUUAAUUUGUCAAAUUAAUUUGUCGAAUUAAUUCAUGAUAGAGGGGCCUUUGGAAAGCUCAGGAAGUUAAUUCAUAGAAUUAAUUCAUAAUAAAUGGCCCAUUUGGAAAGCCCAUGAAUUCGGUUUAGGUUGGAGGUAUUUGGAUGACAUAGGUUUGGUAGGUUUGAUUGGGUUUUAUUUAUGGACUUUGGAUUUUGGAUCUUUGGUUUUUGGAUAUUUAUUUGUGGACUUUGGAUUUUUUGGGAUUUUGUUUGUGGGCUUUUUGGAUUUUUGGAAUUUUAUUCGUAGACUUUGGAAUAAAGGAAGCCAAUGCUUUACUGGGAUGACGCACCCAACCUCUUAGCGAUGGCAACGAGCUACGAACGCGGUUUCUAAUAUCCGGUCACCGUCUCGGACGCCUCAAGCGGAAGACGAAGCCGAAAAAUGUAUUUAUCUUUUUCGGGUGAUAUCCUCGCGUAAGGCUCGGACGAAUCCGCUGAUCCGGACUUCAACAGCGCAGUCGAAAGCCUAACAAUAGGUACUAAGAGGGGGGGGGGGGGGGGGGGGGGGGGGGGAGGGGGGGGGGGGGGGGGGGGGGGGGGGGGGGGGGGGGGGGGGGAAGGGGGGGGGGGGGGGGGGGGGGGGGGGGGGGGGGCGGUGAUCUCCCAACUUUGGAUCUCUACUUUAUAAAACCACUUUGAACCCUAGGUCGGAAAUUGCCAAAAUCCGACGUAUAACUUCGCGAUUCAAGCAAUAAUCACCUACUUAGCAUCUAAGGGUUCCAUAAAAUCAUUUCUAAGGUAUAAAAACUUAACCUUAGAAAUUACCAUUAAAGCUCUAUGAAGCUCACCUCAAAACCUGGUCCAACAGCGAGAAGAAUGCGAAGAAGACGAAGAUCCAACUCCAAACUCGCUCUCCACCAAUCCUCCUUAAGCCUCCACCUUAAGGAGCUUCUAAAGAGAGAAAGGAAGAAAAAAAUGGUGAGGAGGGCAGUUCACUGGCUUGUGAACAAGAAAGGAAGGGUUGGGCCUUUUAUAAGCUGCCACAAUGGGCAUAAAAGCCCCUCAAAACAACCCAAUCUGCAACAGACCAAACCUACAAUUUUUACAUUUGGUACCGUAACCGGGCAACCUGUCACGGUUCAAACAACUACGCAGAGGCCAAACCGAGAGCUCCUACUCUCGGUUUGUUACGAGCAGGAUACACGUACCCGUACCACCCUGAUGUUGUACUGCGUACAAAAUGUCCAGACUGCAGUUUUAGCACUUAUUCGACUUCUAUUUUCCGCCGAGCAAUGUAAAAACUCAGUUAUCUCUUUUAGAACUCAACUUUAACCCUUCAACAUUGGUUGGAAUGUUAAAUUGUCUGGCUAUUGUGAACGAACGGCCCGCCGUAGGUUGUUUCUAAGGCGAGUCGGUCAUUCAUGGUAGAGAUAAAUUGUGUUUAUGUUUUUAUUUGAAAUUAUGAUUAUAGACGUUCAUGACUUCAACAGACUCAAGAAUCUGUUGUUAAUUACCCACACUUUCGGUGUUAAAGAUCCUCGAUUAUAGAGACCAAAUAUAAUGCUGAUAAUAAAAGAGACAAAACAGCGCCAAAUUAAAUUUUAUUGAUAUGAUUUGCCUGUUUACAUGGCUUAAGCAGGGGCUUCCCCACAUGUCCAUGAAUUUUAUCAGACUAAAUGUCAUUAGAGAAGAAGUUUUUAUUUAUUGAAUCCUAAGUGUAUGUAUUAGGAUUCAGUUGGAUUUUGAGAUUGACUAGAUCCUAAGUAUUAUGUGUUAAGACUUAGAUCGAUCUUAGACUCUAUGUAUUAGAGUCUAAUUGGCUCUAAGUAUAUGUCUUGCAUUAGAGUUCGAAUUAUGUCACCUUGGUUAUAUGUUCCAGAUCCGAAAUGGUUGACAGACCUCAUAUGAUUAUUGAGGUGGGUCGAAUUACCCGGAAAUAGGGAGUGUCUAAUUCCUGAGUAAACUGUAUCAGGUAUUAAUUGAGUUUCACUCCUAGUUAUAUGUGCUAGAAUGAAGAUUUGACUAAGCCCUUAAGUAUAGGUAGAGGUAGUCGGAUUUGAACUCUAGUAUAUGUAUUCGAGCUCGAUCGGGUAAAGAUUUCAUCUAAGGUAUAUGUGCUAGAGCGAAAGGCUGACUAGACCCUAAGGCCCUGUUUGGUUGGGGAACAAGAUGGGGAUAAGGGGGUUAUCCCCUCCUUGUUCCCCAAACACUAUAUCUAAGGGUGGGAACAAGCUAUUCCGCCCUUAACGGCGUUAUUCCAGAAUAAACCGUUAAGGGCCGGGAAUAGCUUGUUCCCCCCUUAGUGGAAUUAGGGGUGGGAACAACUUGUUCCCACCCCUUAUUUUUUUAAAAAAAAAUUAAAAAUUAAAAUUAAAAAUUUUAAUUUUAAUUUUAGCUUUAAACAUUUAUAAUUGGAAAUUUCAAAAUUUAAGUUUAUAGUUUUUAAAUUUUAAAUUUAAUAUAAUAUUUUAUAUUUUUUAAUAUAAAUUUUGUUAUUUAUAUUUUAAAAUUUAAAUUUGAUCUUAAAUUUAAUUUUAAAUUUGAAAUUAAAAAUUUAAGAGUUUAAUUUCAAUUUUGAAUUUUAAAAAGUAUUUUUAUUGAUCACCUUGCUUGUUCCACCUAUAAAUUUAAAUUUUCUAAAUUCAAAAAUUAAAUUAUAUUUUAAAAUUACAAAUUAAAAAUUUAAACUUUAAAUUGUUUAAUUUAAAUUUUAAAUUUUGAUAUUUUAAUUUUUUUAUAUUUAGAAUAUGAUAUUUUUGUAUUUUUAAUUAAAUUUCAUCUUAAAAUUAAGUUCAAAUUUAAAAAUUAAUUUAUUAAAAUUUAUUAAAUUUGAUAUUUUAAAAUUUUAAAUUUAAUUUUAAUUUUUUAAACUUUAAAAGUUUAUAUUUUAAUUUUAAAUAUAAAUAUAAAAUAUAAAAAAUUUAAUUCUAAUAUAAAGAAAAAAAAUAAUAUCAUUAUUUUUUUAUUUAUAAAUAUCACUUUAAUUCUUAUCCCAUCUUACCUAACAAACGCUAUUUUUCUUUUCUCAGGAGACUUAAAUUUUCAUCCAAACGCAAAAUUCAUCUAAUCCCCGUUUAUACCUCAAUUUAUACCUAUCCCCGGAAUUAUCCACUUUUUGCUUAUCCCCGAACAACAGUAACCUAAGUAAUAUGGCGCGGCACUGUACCGGUACAGGCCCGAUGGCUGUACCGGUACAACCAUCAACAUUGUACCAGUACAAGACCAUCCUUGUACCGGUACAAGACUUGCGAAAAUGCAAACCGAGGCUCGGGUCUGCGAGUUCUCGGCUCUGUACCGGUACAAGCACAACCUUGUACCGGUACAAGCCCGCCAGACAACCAAUCCGAGAGCUGACCAAAAUCCAAAUUUUUGGGUUUUGGUGCAAGGCUUCGUACCACACUCCUCGGGACAUGUGCCAUAGGUCGGAACACAGUCAACGACCUACCAGAAAUCUGGGAAAGCUCAGAACACGACCAAUCACUCGAACCUCGCAAUUUGCAAAGGUCCAGUGUGUUACAUACAAUGUAUGAAUGCUUUAGUUAGUUUACUUACACUUGCUUGUGUUGCUUGCCCUCGUGCAAACCAUGUAUAUUGAAAUUUUUUUCUCGGCAUUUCAUUAUACAUGUUUAAUUGUUGUUGCUGAGCCUUAGACGAACAGAGGAGGUUCUGUUCGUCUGGCGUCUGUGUGCGGGCCCGACCCGACCAAAUUGGCGGUCUUGGGACGUGACAAUCCUAGACUCUCUCUUUGCUUACUCUUAGCUUGCUCUGGUACUAGGGAUGUCAAUGGGUAUGGAUAUCCAAAAUAUUACCCGAACCCGAACCCGAACGGAGCGGGUUUACCCAAGCUAAACAGGUAUGGAUUUGGUUAUAGGUAUAGAAACUAAAAACCCGACGGAUAUGGAUACGGGUAUGGAUUUUGUAUUUACCCGACUGGAACCCGAACCCGACCCAAACCCGAACCCGAAUAAAUUAUAUAUAUACAUACUUUACUUUUAUUUAUUUAUAUAAUAUAUAAAAAAUUUAAUAAUUUUUAUUCCUUAGAUCUUCAUUUAACGGUAUGGAUUUUUAAAACCGGCCAGGUCAGGGUUCGGGUUCGGGUUUCAGGUUUUUGGUCGGGUACGGAUAUGGGUAUGGCUUUUUAAAACCCGCCGGGUUCGGGUUCGGGUACGGGUUUUAAUUUGGUUUUCGGGUUCGGGUUCGGAUUUUUAAAAAUCCGACAAACCCAACCCGUUGACAUCCCUAUCUGGUACCACUUUACUUGUCACGCCCCGCAACCGCUAGUUUGGUCGGUUGGGGCACGUCAAACAGACACCGAGCGGAUAGCACCUCACCUGUCCGUCCAAGGCUAACCAACACAGUCAUGUACAUCAAGUUGCCCAAGUAAACUUAAACAAUAUACAUAAAGCACCACAAGUGCUAUACAAGCGAGAGCAAGACACAAUUAGAUAUACAAGUGAACAAAAGAGAGAUUCCUAGCUAUUACAUUUACAUACAACAUCCACAAAAUACAUUCACAUCUUCAAAAGGUGUAUACAAGCUCAACAUCUAUAUACAUGAGUAGCUCUCCAAUAUAUACAUAUCAACAUCUCUAAUACACGAGAUACUCUAAUGCAAAAGGAAAGUCGCUAACUACUAGGGAGCUACGCCCUUACGGCGGUCCUCGCCCGAUCCGCUCAAACUCGGCCCUGCAAUAAAUUGGGGUGAGAACUAUGUAAAUAUAGUUCCCAGUAGAUUCGGCCGCCGACUCUGCCGAUCUUCCCACUAGGUCUAAGCAGGUAUAAGCAGAUAGAUAGAUAGAUAGAUAGAUAGAAAUGAACUGCUACAUUCUACUAUGCCAUCGAAUGCUAAGCAAUGCAUGAAGUGUCCAACUAGCCACAAACCUACUAUCAUGCUAGUAUGCUUCAACGUUAUCAUGAAUAUAAAUACAAACAUAGUUAUGCAAUCUACUAACAUACAUUAUGUCUACUCAUGGUAUGAAUGUAAAUCUACUAUGCUAUUCAUGUUCAUUACUCAAUCAACUUGGCUAGCCCGAAGGUUCGCCCCGACUCACCUUUCAAUCUCAUAGGUGAGGAGAAUCUGCACUCGCACACCGAGACCGUCUGCAGGACAACUACGUAUGCCUCUAUCAUGAAGUACUCCGGAGACCACUACUUGGGUGGAACGACCACACCAAGUGUAAACAGACUAGUGAGUAUGAUCCAAUCCUCACAACUCGAGGAUACCCUAGCUGCAAGGGUCAUAGUGCUUCUACCGCACUAAUUCCAAAAUGCACAAUUCACUAAUCGGGAACUCUACUAUCCCUAGAAUCAUGUCAUAAUGUGUCACUAAACUAGAUUCGAUGCCACUCGUUCAAAUCAUUAGUUGUAAGUGUUUCAACUAGUUUAUAUGCAACUCGUUCAUGUUGUAGUGCUUCUACUACACUAGCUCAACGCCAACUAUUAUCAUCAUCUCAAAUUCAAGUUGUCACUUAUCUUGUCACUAUAGGCUUUCAUGUCACCAGAUUUAAUCCUCAUGCACCCUAGGUUCUUGUGUCAAGCUCACAAUGCUACACUACUAAGGAACAUGCAAGGAAAUAGAAUUGUAACUAUAUUACAUCCUAUAAUGCAUAAGUACAACAUAUGAAGAUAUGGUCAAUAAUACGACUUAGACAUAAAAGGAAGCCCAACUGCUUUGGGAUGACGCACCCCACCUCUUAGCGAUGCAACGAGGCUAGGAACCCGGUUUCGUAAUUUUCCGUCACCGUCUCGGCCCUCCAAGCGGAAACGAAGCCGAAAAUGUCUUUUUCGGUGAUAUCCUCGCGUAGGCUCGACGAAUCGCUGAUCCGACUUCACCAGCGCGUCCGAAAGCCUAACAAAUAGGUACUUAAGAGAUCAAUCCCAACUUUGGAUCUCUACUUUAUAAAACCCACUUUAGAACCCUAGGUCGGAAAUAUUGCAAAAAUCCGACGUAUAACUUCGCGAUUCAAGCAAUAAUCACCUACUUAGCAUCUAAGGGUUCCAUAAAAAUCAUUUCUAAGGUAUAAAAACUUAACCUUAGAAAUCUACCAUUAAAGCUCUAUGAAGCUCACCUCAAAAACCUGCUCCAACAGCGAGGAAGAAGCCGAAGAAGACGAAGAUCCAACUCCAAACCUCGCUCUCCACCAAUCCUCCUUAAGCCUCCACCCUUAAGAGAGCUUCUAAAGAGAGAAAGGAAGAAAGAAAAUGGUGAGGAGGGAGUUCACUGGCUGUGAACAAGAAAGGAAGGGUUGGGGCCCUUUUAUAAGCUGCCACAAUGGCAUAAAAGCCCCUCAAACAACCCCCAAUUGCAACAGACCAAACCUACAAUUUUCUACAUUUGGUACCGGUACACGGGCAACCUGUCACCGGUUCAACAACUACGCAGAGGCCAAACCCGAGAGCUCCUACUCUCGGUUUGUUACGGGGUACCGGUACCACCCUGAUGUUGUACUGGUACAAAAUGUCCAGACUGCAGUUUUAGCACUUAUUCGACUUCUAUUUUCCGCCGAGCAAUGCUAAAACUCAGUUAUCUCUUUUAGAACUCAACUUUAACCCUUCCAACAUGGUUGGAAUGUUAAAUGGUGUCUGUCGUGAACGAACCGGCCCCGCCGUAGGUUGUUUCUAAGGCGAGUGGUCAUUCAUGGUAGAGAUAAAAUUUGUUUAUGUUUUAUUUUGAAAUUAGGAUUAUAGGUUCAUGACUUCCAACAGACUCAAGAAUCUGUUGUUAAUUACCCCACACUUUCGGUGUUAAAGAAUCCUCGAUUAAGAGACCAAAUAUAAAUGCUGAUAAUAAAAGAGACAAAACAGGCAAAUAAAAUUUUAUUGAUAUGAUUUGCCGUUUACAUGGCUUAAGCAGGGGCAUUCCCCCACUGUCCAUGAAUUUUAUCAGACUAAAUGUCCAAUCUAGAGAAGAAGUUUUGAUUUAUUGAAUCCUAAGUGUAUGUAUUAGGAUUCAGUUGGAUUUGAGAUUGACUAGAUCCUAAGUAUAUGUGUUAAGACUUAGUCGAUCUUAGACUCUAUGUAUUAGAGUCUAAUUGGCUCUAAGUAUAUGUCUUGCAUUAGAGUUCGAUUAUGUCCACCUUGGUUAUAUGUUCCAAGAUGGAAAUGUGACCAGACCUCAGGUAUAUGUAUUGAGGUGGGUCGAAUUACCCGAAAGUAGGGAGUGUCUAAUUCCUGAGUAAAUGUAUCAGGAUUAAUUGAGUUUCACUCUAGUUAUAUGUGCUAGAAUGAAGAUUUGACUAAGCCCUAAGUAUAUGUAUUAGAGGUAGUCGGAUUUGAACUCUAAGUAUAUGUAUUCGAGCUCGAUCGGGUAAAGAUUUCACUCUAGGUAUAUGUGCUAGAGCGAAAGGCUGACUAGACCCUAAGGCCCUGUUUGGUUGGGGAACAAAGAUGGGGAUAAGGGGUUAUCCCCUCCUUGUUCCCCAAACACUAUAUCUAAGGGUGGGAACAAGCUAUUCCCGCCCUUAACGNUAGCUGGUUGGGGCAUGACAGUAGCUAGGAUGUCCUCAGUGAUGGUGCCGAACUGGAUGGUGACACCGGCAGCCUCUAUCUCCAUCAUAGAAGCGGGAAAGCGGAUUUGCGCUGCAUUGACCGUGGUGUUGUUUGAUGCCAUUGCUCUUCAUAUAUAAGACAACAGAUGUCAGUUGUGCAUAUAAAUAUAUUUUGGUCUUUUAUCAGCAUUUAUUAAUUAGGUCUCAAAGAUGGAGGGUGAAGCCAUGUCCCACCGGGCGUGCCAUUUUGUCUGCCCCGAACGAACCAGCCCCGCCGUAGGUUGUUUCUAAGGCGAGUGGUCAUUCAUGGUAGAGAUAAAAUUUGUUUAUGUUUUAUUUUGAAAUCAGGAUUAUAGGUUCAUGGCUUCCAACAGACUCAAGAAUCUGUUGUUAAUUACCCCACACUUUCGGUGUUAAGGAACCCUCGAUUAAGAGACCAAAUAUAAAUGCUGAUAAUAAAAGAGACAAAACAGGCAAAUAAAAUUUUAUUGAUAUGAUUUGUCGUUUACAUGGCUUAAGCAGGGGCAUUCCCCUAUUGUACAUGAAUUUUAUCAGACUAAAUAUCCAAUCUAGCGAAGAAGUUUUGAUUUAUUGAAUCCUAAGUAUAUGUAUUAGGAUUCAGUUGGAUUUGAGAUUGACUAGAUCCUAAGUAUAUGUGUUAAGACCUAGUUGAUCUUAGACUCUAUGUAUUAGAGUCUAAUCGGCUCUAAGUAUAUGUCUUAGAGUCCGAUUAUGACCACCUUGGUUAUAUGUUUCAAGAUGGAAAUGUGACCAGACCUCAGUUAUAUGUUUUGAGGUGGGUCGAACUACCCGAAAGUAGGGAGUGGUUAAUUCCUGAGUAUAUGUAUCAGGAUUAACCGAGUUUCACUCUAGUUAUAUGUACUAGAAUGAAGAUCUGACUAAGCCCUAAGUAUAUGUAUUAAGGGUAGUCGGAUUUGAACUCUAAGUAUAUGUAUUAGAGCUCGAUCGGGUAAAGAUUUCACUCUAGGUAUAUGUGCUAGAGCGAAAGGCUGACUAGACCCUAAGUAUAUGGGUUAGGGUUAGUCGACCAUGGUUUGACUUCCACUCUAUGUAUAUGUGCUAGAGCAAAAGGCUGACUAGACCCUAAGUAUAUGUGUUAGGAUUAGUCGGAUGAACUCUAAGUAUAUAUGUUAGAGUUCGAAUAAACUUGCUAUCAUUUGACUGAAUUCUAAGUAUAUGACUUAGAACUCUGUCGAUUUGGAGAUGUUUUGCCUUAGUUAUAUGUGCUAAGGCGAUUGACUUAGCCCUAAGUAUAUGUAUUAGGGGUAGUCGAUAUUUAAUUUUUACUCUAGGUAUAUAUGCCAGAGUAAAAAAAGGUUCACGAUGAGAUUUGGGUGUUGGUUCAUGAGAUUUGAGUAUUGACUCAUGAGAUUUGAUUCAUGAAUUUGGAUAUGGUUCAUGAAUUUGGUGUAUGGACUUGGUUCCUGAACUUGGAUAUGGUUCAUAGAUUUGGUCUAUGGGCUUGGUUCAUGAACUUAGAUAUGGUUCAUGGAUUUGGUGUAUGGAUUUUAUUCAUGAACUUGAAUAUGGUUCAUAGAUUUGGUGUAUGGACUUGGUUCAUGAACUUGGAUAUGGUUCAUGAAUUUGGUGUACGGACUUGGUUCAUGGUUCAAGAAAUUUGGGUAUAGUUUAACGACUUUUCGGUCAUUGGAUUUAACGACUUUUCGGUCGUUGGAUUUGGGUUUAGUUUAACGACUUUUCGGUCGUUUGAAAUUUGGGUUUAGUUUAGCGACUUUUCGGUUGUUUAAAAUCGAGAUGUUCAUGAAGCUGAUUCAUGAAAUUAAUUCAUGCUAGGAGCCCGUUUGUAAAGUCCAUUGAAUUAAUUGAUGAAAUUAAUUCAUGAUAGGGGCCAUUUGGAGAGCCCAUUGAAUUAAUUCAUGAUAAGGAGCCAUUUGGAGGGCCCAUUAAUUCAUGAAAUUAAUCUAUGACAAGGAGGGCUCAUAAAAUUAAUUCAUAGAAUUAAUCCGUGAUAAAGGGCCUAUUUGGCAAACCCAUGAAAUUAAUUUGUCAAAUUAAUUUGUCGAAUUAAUUCAUGAUAGAGGGGCCUUUGGAAAGCUCAGGAAGUUAAUUCAUAGAAUUAAUUCAUAAUAAAUGGCCCAUUUGGAAAGCCCAUGAAUUCGGUUUAGGUUGGAGGUAUUUGGAUGACAUAGGUUUGGUAGGUUUGAUUGGGUUUUAUUUAUGGACUUUGGAUUUUGGAUCUUUGGUUUUUGGAUAUUUAUUUGUGGACUUUGGAUUUUUUGGGAUUUUGUUUGUGGGCUUUUUAGAUUUUUGGAAUUUUAUUCGUAGACUUUGGGUUCUGGAUCUUUGGGUUUUGGAUCUUUAUUUGUGGACUUUGAAUUUUUUGGGAUUUUGUUUGUGGGCUUUUGGAUUUUUGGAAUUUUAUUCGUAGACUUUGGGUUUUGGGUUAAGAAAUCCAUUCAUAUGAAUUUUUUAUUUCUUUUGAACCCAAAUCUGUAUGUGGGUUAAGAUUGUUUCGGGCUUUAUAGGGUCUGGGCCAUGGACCCAAGUCUGUAUGUGGAUUUAGAUUAGUUUUGAACUUUACACGUUUUGGGCCUUGGACCCAAAUCUGCAGGUGGACUAAAAUAGAUCUUGGAUUUUAUAUGUUCCGGGCCCAAUUCUGUAUGUGGGCUGAGUCGGGUUUCGGGCUUUAAUAUUCUGGGCUUUGGACCCGAAUUUGCAUGUGGGCUCUGCAUUAUUUUUUUUGACUGCUUAUGAAAUUGUUUAUUAGGCCAUUUUCAAAAUAAUUCAAACCCAACUCCUCAGAUUUUGUUCUUUUGUUCUUUUUUUUCUUUUUUUCUUUUUUUUCUUUUUUUUUUGACUGAGAGAAAUAAAAACUCUUCUUUUUUUUGUUCUUUUCUUUUUUUUUCUUUUUUCUUUUCUGUUGAUUCUUUUUCUUUUCCUUUUUUUUUUUUUGAAGUCUGAUAGAGAGAGAGGGAAAGAGUUGCAACCCAACUCUCUCUCUCUGUACGACACUGAGAAACAGAUAGAGAGAGAGAGGGUUGCUCUCCUCUUUUUUUUUUUUCUUUUUUUUGUUUUGUCCAAGUAAACGAAGUUGAUCACGUCGAGUCAUACAAUCGGAUUAAACGAGGAUGGCAAAUCGAAACAGAACCCAUUCACUUUUUUUUUAUUAUUUUUUUUUCGCGUUUUGUUUAAGUACGCAGAGUUUAAUCGUGUCGAGCCUAUCGCGAAUAUGGCCGCACGAUUUUUUUUAUACCCAUGUCGAGCCUAUCACGAAGAGCACGGCUUACGUAAUAAAACCUCCGAUUCGAUCAAUUAUUUUGACCAUGUCGAGCCUAUCGCGAAGAUGGCCGCACGAUUUUUUUAUACCCAUGUCGAGCCUAUCACGAAGAUGGCCGCACGGCUUACGUAAUAAAACCUCCGGUUCGAUCAAUUAUUUUGACCAUGUCAAGCCUAUCGCGAAAAUGGCCGCACGGCUUGGAGAUUAGCAAUGCACACGCAUAGCGAAAGCAACGAUUUGAUGUCAAAUUUGAUCGGUUCGAAACCUAUCACGAAGAUGGUCGGGUUGAUCAAACUGACAAGAAAAUCGUACUUAUGCUAUUUGUAUGCAUGCACAUCUCUUGUCGUCGUAGGAGUCGUCGUUAUUGUCGUUGUCGCCGUUGUCGUCGAAUGCAAGAACCGAAGCCCGUCUUUUUUUUUUCUUUUUUUUUUUUGCUGUACGGACAAAGAAAGGGGGUGCACAUGGCACCCCUCCUCUGUCAGCCAAGAGAGAGAGAGAGAGUGAGAAAGAUUGAUAAAGUGAGAGUGAGAGGCAGGGAGUAUAUAAACUCCCCUUUUUUUUUUCACCUCUUUUCUUCCUUUCUUUUUCUUUUCUUCUGCUUCUUCGGAUCUUCUUCUUUUUUUUCUUGCUCAAAAGAGAAUUCUCUCUCCCCCUUUUAUUUCAAAAUUUGGAGCUCCUUUUAUAUAAGGUUCCAAGAUGAUUCCUAUUUAGGAAUAACUUAAUAAAAAUCAACCUAUUGAGGAAACAAACCUCAAUCAACUGACUAUGCUCCUUUUAUUUUAUUUUGAAUACUUUUCCUCUUUUGUUUCCCCCUUUUUUUGAAUUUAGGUAGAAUAUGACAUCUACUCUAAUUAGGAUCUAUACUUUUUUUUUUAUAUAUAUGUGCGCCUUCUCUCUUUUUUUUAACUCGAACAAAUGGAUCUUGUCAAGCAUCCGUCUCGCACACUUUGAUCAACUUGGCCAAAAGUGGAUUACUACUAGGAGGAUUCGAUAUCUUACAAUGUGGGUCCUACUUUUCUCCUUGAAAUAAGGAGAGGGCUUGAAUCCCACGAAAAUUCAGAGAAUGUUAUAGAUAACCCAGUGGGGACCACUCAACUCUUUAAGGGACUAAUAUCAUUCUAACCCUACAAUUUCUAAUCCAAAGGUUAAAAGCUUGAUAGCAAAAAUGACAAUACUAUCAAUAGUAUUCCAGCCCAACUAUAUAUAUAUAUAUAUAGUAGGGCUACUGUGCUAUUACAAGCACAACAGCUCUUGUGCUCCUAACUUCCUAACAACCCAUCAAUUUUGUUUGGUGGUUAAGGAUGAGAGAGAAAAGAAAAAUUAGAGAGAAAUUCAAAAAGAAGAAAAAUUGAGACACUAAAUUUCUUCCCAAUUUAUCUUCUCUCUCUAAUCCUAACCACCUAUCAAAAUUAAUAAAUUGUUAGAAAAUUAGGAGCACAAGGAUUGUUGUGCUCCUAAUAACAUAGUAGCUCUGCUAUAUAUAUAUAUAUAUAUAUAGAGAGAGAGAGAGAGAGAGAGAGAGAGUCCGGGGGGGAUACUAUCGAUAGCACGAAGCAUUUGAUGCUAUCAAGUUUUCUACUGUUAGAUUUACCUUUUUUAUCAUUUUCAUCCGUUCGAUUAUACUAUUCAACCAACCACCCACUCAACCCUAGGGGGCCCACAUCAUCCUAACCACACAUCUUUUAAUCCAAGAACAGAAAACUUAAUAACACCAGGUCAUUGGUGCUAUUAAUAGUAUUCCAGCCUAGUUCUACAUAUAUAUAUAAAGCAAGACAAAACUGUAAAGCUAACUCAAUACAGAACAAAAAAUAACUAACCCAACUCAAGAGUAGCACCUCACUGGCUAGAAGAAGAAGAGCAAGAAGAGGAGAUAGCUGAAAGACAAAACUGUCCAUUUGUAUACUCGGAAUUUGGCAUAUCUUAACCAAACCUUUCACGUGGGCUCAACGUGCAUUUGUAUGAUCUGGAGAGGCUUACUUGUCUUAUAAUUUAGAUGCUUUAUCUAUUUUAUAAUAAUAUAUAUAUAUAUUAUAUAUAUAUAUAUAUAAUAUAUAUUAUAUAUAGUUGAGCUUAGAAUACUCUCGAUUAAGACGCAUCUUUACUAUCGAGUUGUUUUACGAUGAUGAGUUCCAAUGUUGCGAUCGGCGCUCCAUUUGAACAUGAUCCAUAUACGCAUUAAAGUGUUUAGAAAUCAAAAUUUCAAAUUUUCUGACAUCAUUUACCUAAUGAUAAGGGGUUUCAAAUUUGUAAUUUUAAUGGGCGAUAAGAGACGUGUUUGCUGUUUAACGGGAUAGGUGUAGUAAGAUAUUCAAAUAUUGAAUUUUUGUUAGAAGAAUUUUUAACUAUUUAAAUACAAGAUCUAUACUCUUGAUCUUUGAUUCAAGACUCCUAUCAUAUUUUUUAAAGAUAUUUAUUUUCAACCAUUCAUUUUGUUCACUAGAUGGAUAAAGAAAUAUCGAAAGUGCGUGAAAUUUGAUUUCUAGGUAGUUUAAAUGGUUUGAUCAUAUUUAACGGAGCGAUCGUCAAUUUGGAAGCUUAUUAUCGAAAAUAACUCGAUAGUAAAAUACUUCGUUUACUAUCGAGAGUAUUUAGAGUCAACUAGUAAUACUAUAUAUAUAUAUAUAUAUAUAUAUAUAUAUAAUUGUUUCUAGGAGAAAACCAGCUACACUCCUUAAGCCGUCCACGUGGCCUUGCGUGUGCUGGUGGACUGCCUAGAAGUAAUUGAAUACUCUACACCAUACUUUCGCUCUAUCGUUUUCGACUUUCAGAGUGAAAAUGGGUUUCGGCGAACUCUGUAAACGACCUUUCAAAUUUACGAACGGCCAAAUAGUCGAAAAGUUGUUUUCCAAAGCUGAUUGUUUGAAGCUCAGUUUUACAACAAACCAAAUAACCCGAUAGGAUGAAUGAAAAGUUUUGCAUCAGAAACGCUGGAAUGAGCGGUAUAUUUUAUUUGAAAUAUAUAUAUCUAUAUUAUAUAAAAGCACGUAUAUUCAAAUUUGGGUCUGUCGACAGACCCAUUAUUCGGCGGAAAAAUUAGCGCCAUUUUUCUCUUUCCGUACGAAAAAUUUUAAAUAUAAGAAUAAAAAUAGAAAUAGAAACAACAAUAAAUACGUAAGUUAUCUAUAACAGAUUACUGAUGUGAAAAUUCUAAAAUAUAAAUUUUUCUAUUUAAUUUCAAAAGUAAGUUUUCUAUAACAGAUUACGGGUGUGAAAAUCCUAUAAAAGAUAUUUUUCUAUUUUAUUUUAAAAUAUCUUUUUUAGAUAUUAUCUAUUUAAUUUUAAAAUAUAUUUUCUUUUUAAGAUAACGGAUUUUAUUUUUCUAUUUAAUUUCAAAAUUUUAUUUCCUAACAGAUUUUAUUUUUCUAUUUAAUUUCAAAAAUAAUUUUUGCAUUAGAGAUUAUUGUUAAUUAUUUAUCAUUUAAAGCAUAUCUUUCUUAAUAGCGUGAUUUAUUAUUUUAAANNNNNNNNNNNNNNNNNNNNNNNNNUAAUCUGUUAUAGAGAACUUACGUAUUCAUUGCGGUUUCUAUUUCUAUUUUUAUUCUUAUAUUUAAAAUUUUUCGUACGGAAAGAGAAAAAUGAGCGCUAAUUUUUCCGCCGAAAAAUGAGUCUGUCGACAGACCCAAAUUUGAAUAUACGUGCUUUUAUAUAGACUAGUUGAAUAUACGUACAAAUACACGUAACAAUUAAUUAUUUAAUAAUUAUUUUAAAUUAAUAUAAAAUUGUACAUCAUAUUUAUUAAAAAAUUUACAAUUUUUUAAAAAGUAAAUUUAUUUAUUAUAUACUAUAAGAAAAUGCCUACCAUAUUUUGUCAACAAUAAUUAUAUAGUUUUUUUAUUUUAUAAAAUUUAUAUAUAGUGUAAAUAUAGAUAUACAUUAAAUAUAGAUAUACAUUAAAUAUUUUUCUGAUAAAUUUAUAUAUAGUGUAGAUAUAGAUAUACAUUAAAUAUAGAUAUACAUUAUAUAUUUUUUAAUUCUAAUAAAUUUAAAAUUUAAAUAAAUAUUUUAAACUAAAAGUAUCAAAAUUAAAACAGUUAAUAUAAUAAUUAAAAUAUAGUAAAUAAAAUAAAUAGAGAAAUAUAUUAGAAUAAAGAGGAGAGAGAGAGAAGAGAAAGAAGAGAAGAAGAAAGAGAGAAAGAAGAAAAAGCCGACUAUGGUCUGACAACACCAAGGCAUGGUCUUGUAAGAUUUUACUGGUUAAUUCUGUCCUUUAUCAGUUAUCUCGUAGAUUAUACUAUUCAAUACGACCACCGGGACAACUCAACCCUGGAGCCACAUUACAUCCUCAAACGCACAUCCCUAAUCCAAAGCCGAUCGUGUCAAAAACUAAGAACAACCAAGAUCUUACUUUAAAAUUACAGAGCUCAAUUCUCCGGUAAUGGCAAAAAAUUGAAACAUAAAUUUCUGUUAAACAAAGAAAUUAAAAUUCUUUAAUUCGGGAUUAUUUUGAACUAAUAAUAAGAAUAAUUUUUUUCCACCAAAAAUAGUCUUCGACAAAUCGAAAUUUAAUACCUGCUAUUAUAUAUAUAUUAUAUAUAUAUAUAUAUAUAUAUAUAUAUAUAUAUAUAUAAUAUAUAUAUAUAUAUAUAUUUUCAAAUUUUCGAGCCUAAUCAUAGCGACCCCGAUAAUACCAAGCUCCGCUAAAAAUAAUUCACCAACUCGAGCAGAGCUGAAUAGUACCGAACCAGUCAAUACAGACCCACGCUCAUUUCCAGCCCUAUCCACUGGUACAAUUCGUAAAAAUUUAAUAUAUAAAAUAAAAAAUCCAAAUCAUAAAAAAUAUUAUUGAAGCUUUUCAAAACUAGACCCCUCUUUAAAUUUUUGCAGAUCGGACCACAGAUUUCAAGAAACUGACCAAAAUUUCUAUCCCCUUUCUCUCUCCACUUUUUCUGUGCUUUUUACCUAUGCCUCCGAAGAGGCUUCUAAGGACAGCAUCCUGCCUUACGCUUUGCCCUCAUUCUCCCUACGCACACAUGCCCCNNNNNNNNNNNNNNNNNNNNNNNNNGUAUGAUAAACUCGCCUUUUUUUUUUAUCACCUCUUUUUUCCUUUCUUUUUCUUUCUCUCUGCGUUCUUCGGAAUCUGUCUUCUUUUUUUUCCUCUGCAAAGAGAAUUCUCUCCCCUCCUUUAUUCAAAAUUGGAGCUCCUUUAUAUAAGCGUUCCAAGAUGAUGGUGCCUAUUAGAUAACUUAAUAAAUCAAAAGGCCUAUUGGAGGGAAACAAACCUCAUCAACUGACUAUGCUCCUUUUUAUUUUAUUUUUGAAUUACUUUUCGCUCUUUUGUUCCCCCUUGUUCUUUGAAUUUAGGUACGAAUAUGACAUCUACUUCUAAUUAGGAUCUUACUUUUUUUUUAUAUAUAUUGCGCCUUCUCUUAUUUUUUAACGCGAACAAAUGAUCUGUCAAGCGAUCGUCUCGCACAUUUUGAUCAACUUUGGGCCAAAAAUGGUUCUACUAGGAGGAAUUCGAUAUCUUACAAUGUGGGUCCUAGCUUUUCUCUUGAAUAAGGGGAGGGCUUGAAUCCACGAAAUAUUCAGGAGAAUUUAUAGAUAAACCCAGGUGGGGACACUCAACUCUUCAAGGGAACUAAAUAUCAUUCUAACGCCUACAAUUUCUAAUAAGGUUAAAAGCAUUGAUACGAAAAAUGACAAUACUUCAAGUAAUUCCAGCCCACUAUAUCAUAUAGUAUAUAAUACGUAGGGUACUAUACUGGCUAUCUACAAGCACAACAGCCUUGUGCUCCUAACUUCCUAACCAACCCACUCCGAAUUUGUUGGUGGUUAAGCGAUGAGAGAAAAGGAAAAAUUAGAGGUAAAUUCAAGAAAGAAGAAAAAUUGGACAUCUAAUUUAUUCCCAAUUUAUCAUUCGUCUCGUCUAAUCCUAACCACCUAAUUCAAUAAUUAAUAAUUGUUAGAAAAUUAGGAGCACAAGGAUGUUGCUCCUGAAUAGCAUAGUAGCUCUGCUAUAGUAUAUAUAUAGUAUAUAUAGAGAGAGGAGAGAGGAGCGAGAGAGAGAAGUCCGGGGGGAUACUAUCGAUCAGCACGAAAGCAUUUGAUGGCUAUGCAAGUUUUCUGACUGUUAGGAUUUACCUUUUUGUAUUCAUUUUCAUCCGGUUUCGAUUAUAGUUAUUUCAACCAACACCCACUCAACCUAGGGCCCACAUCAUCCUAACACACAUCUUUAAUCCAAGAACAGAAAACUAUAAAACCAGGUCAUUGGUCUAUUAAUAGUAUUCCAUCCGCCUAGUUCACAGAUAUAUAUGUAAAGGCAAGACAAACUGUAAAGCGUACACUCAUAUAAGCAAAAAAUAACUAACGCAACUCAAGAGUAGCCACCUCACUGCUAGAGAAAGAAGGAGGCAAGAAAGAGGGAGAUAGCUGAAAGACAAAACUGUCCAUUGUAUACUCGAAUUUGGCAUAUCUUAACCAAACCUUUCACGUGGGCUCAACGUGCAUUUGUAUGAUCUGGAAGGCUUACUUGUCUUAUAAUUUAGAUGCUUUAUCUAUCUUUUUAUAAUAUAUUAUCUAUAUAUUAUAUAUAUAUAUGUAUAUUUAUAUAUAUAUAUAGUUGAGCCUAGAAUACUCUCGAUAGUAAAACGGGGCAUUUUACUAUCGAGUGUUUUCGAUGAUAAGAUGCUUCCAAAUUGACGAGAUCGGCUCCAUUGAACAUGAUCUAUACCACUUAAGUGUUAGAAAUCAAAUUUCAAUCUUGUCGACAUCAUUUACCUAAUGAUCAAGGGGUUUCAAAUUUGUAAUUUAAUGUGUGGAUAAGAGACGUUUUCUCGGUUUAAGGACGAGUGGUGAAAGAUAUUCAAAUAAAUUGAAUUUUUGUUUAGAAAAUUCUUAAACUAUUUAAAACAAGAUUAUACUCUUGAUCUUGAUUACAAGACUCCUAUCAUCAUUUUUUAAAGAAUAUUUAUUUCAACCCAUUCAUUUUUCUGUUCACUAGAUGGAUAAAAGAACAAUAUCGAAAGUGCGUAAAUUUGAUUCUAGGAGGUUUUUUAGAUCAUAUUUAACGGAGCCGAUCGUCAAUUUGGAAGCUUAUUAUCGAAAACAACUCGAUAGUAAAAUACUUCGUUUACUAUCGAGAGUAUUCUAGCUCAACUUAUAUAUAUAUAUAUAUAUAUAUAUAUAUAUAUAUAAUAUAUAUAUAAUAUAUAUAUAUAUAUAUAUAUAAUAUAUAUAAUUGUUUCUAGAGAAAACCAGCUACACUCCUUAAGCCGUCACGUGGCCUUGCGUGUGCUUGGUGGCUGCCUGAAGUAAUUGAGAAUACUCUACACCAUACUUUCGCUCUAUCGUUUUCGACUUUCAGAGUGAAAAUGGUUUCGCGCGAACUCUGUAACGACUUCAAAUUUACGAACGGCCAAAUAGUCGAAAAGUUGUUUUCCAAAGCUGAUUGUUUGAAGCUCAAUUUUACAACAACCAAAUAACCCGAUAGGAUGAAUGAAAAGUUUGCAUCAGAAACGCUGGAAUGAGCGGUAUAUUUUAUUUGAAAUAUAUAUAUCUAUAUUAUAUAAAAGCACGUAUAUUCAAAUUUGGGUCUGUCGACAGACCCAUUAUUCGGCGAGAAAAUUAGCGCCAUUUUCUCUUUCCGUACGAAAAAUUUUAAAUAUAAGAAUAAAAAUAGAAAUAGAAACAACAAUAAAUACGUAAGUUAUCUAUAACAGAUUACUGAUGUGAAAAUUCUAAAAUAUAAUUUUUCUAUUUAAUUUCAAAAGUAAGUUUUCAAUAACAGAUUACGGGUGUGAAAAUCCUAUAAAGAUUUUUCUAUUUUAUUUUAAAAUAUCUUUUUUAGAUAUUAUCUAUUUAAUUUUAAAAUAUAUUUUUUUUAAGAUAACGGAUUUUAUUUUCUAUUUAAUUUCAAAAUUUAUUUUCUAACAGAUUUUAUUUUUCUAAUUAAUUUCAAAAAUAAUUUUGGCAUUAGAGAUUAUGGUUAAUUAUUUAUCAUUUAAGGCAUAUCUUUCUUAAUAGAGUGAUUUAUUAUUUUAAAUUUUUUAGAUACAUAUUUGGCAAUCAUAUAAAAAUGGCCUAAAAUAAAAAAUAAUUUAAAAAUCAUAACUUUUUCUAAUAAUUAUUACGUGCAUUUGCACGUACAUUUUACUAGUUAUAUAUAUAUAUAUAUAUAUUAUUAUAUAUAUAUAUAUAUAUAUAUAUAUAUAUAUAUAUAUAUUAUAUAUAUAUAUAUAUAUAUAUAUAUAUAUAUAUUAUUACGUGCAAAUGCACAUAAUAAUUAUUAGAAGAAGUUAUAAUUUUUUUAAAUUAUUUUUAAUUUUAGGCUAUAUUCUAUAUGAUUGUCAAAUAUGUAUUUAAAAAAUUUAAAAUAAUAAAUCACGCUAUUAGAAAAAUAUGCUUUAAAUGAUAAUAAUUAACAAUAAUCUCUAAUGCAAAAAUUAUUUUUGAAAUUAAAUAGAAAAAUAAAUCCGUUAGGAAAUAAAUUUUUGAAAUUAAAUAGAAAAAUAAAAUCCGUUAUCUUAAAAAGAAAAUAUAUUUUGAAAUUAAAUAGAUAAUAUCUAAAAAAGAUAUUUUAAAUAAACUAGAAAAAUAUCUUUUAUAGAAUUUUCACACCCGUAAUCUGUUAUAGAAAUUUACUUUGAAAUUAAAUAAAAAAAUUUAUUUUUAGAAUUUUCACAUCAGUAAUCUGUUAUAGAGAACUUACGUAUUCAUUGCGGUUUCUAUUUCUAUUUUUAUUCUUAUUUUAAAAUUUUCGUACGGAAAGAGAAAAAUGAGCGCUAAUUUUUCCGCCGAAAAAUGAGUCUGUCGACAGACCCAAAAUUUGAAUAUACGUGCUUUUAUAUAGACUAGUUGAAUAUACGUACAAAUACACGUAACAAUUAAUUAUUUAAUAAUUAUUUUAAAUUAAUAUAAAAUUGUACAUCAUAUUUAUUAAAAAUUUACAAUUUUUAAAAGUAAAUUUAUUUAUUAUAUACUAUAAGAAAAUGCCUACCAUAUUUUGUCAACAAUAAUUAUAACUUUUUUUUUUUAUAAAUUUAUAUAUAGUGUAAAUAUAGAUAUACAUUAAAUAUAGAUAUACAUUAAAUAUUUUUCUGAUAAAUUUAUAUAUAGUGUAUAGAUAUAGAUAUACAUUAAAUAUAGAUAUACAUUAUAUAUUUUUUAUUCUAAUAAAUUUAAAAUUUAAAUAAAUUUUAAACUAAAAGUAUCAAAAUUAAACAGUUAUAUAUAAUAAAAUAUUAGUAGAUAGAUAGAGAAAUAUAAUAUAUAUAUAUAUAUAUAUAUAUAUAUAUAUAUAUAUAUAUAUAUAUAUAUAUAUAUAUAUAUAUAUAUUAAUAUUAUAGAUAGAGAUAAGGAGAUAUUCUCCGGUAGGCAAAAAUUUGGAUAAGCAUAAUUUUUUUUUCUGUUGUAGAAACAAAGAGGAAUUAAAAAUUUGUUUAAUUCUGUUAUUUAUUUUACGUAAUGAAAAGAUGAAUUAAUUUUUUUCCGCCAAAAAAUGAGUCUGUCAACAGACCGAAAUUUAAAAUACGUGCAUUAAUUGUUAUAUAUAUAUAUAUAUAUAUAUAUAUAUAUAUAUAUAUAUAUAUAGAAUUAGGCUAGAAUACUAUUAAUAGUAAAACACUCUUUUUGCUAUCAAGUUUUUAACCCUUGGAUGAAAAAUUGUAGGGUCAGAAUGAUAUUAGUCGGUUAGAGUUGAGUGGCCCCCCUAGGGUUGAGUGGUCCCCACUGGGUUAUAGUAUUUAAUCCAAUGGUUAGAAAUAAUAAAAAGAGUUGAACCAAAGGCUAAAAAACUGGUAGCAAUAAUGAGAUUUUGCUACUAAUAGUAGCCCAGUUCUACUCUAUAUAUAUAUAUAUAUAUAGUAAGUCUUGUGUGCUAUUAGGAGUACGGAGACCUCCAUGCUCCUCAGCCGUUUUCGAUCAUGGAGCUUUCGAAUCGACGAUUGACUCCGUUAGAAUUGAUCUAAUACAUUUGAACUAUUUAGAAAAUAAAUUUUGCAAUUUUUUGAUACCAUUUACUUAGUGAUCAAAAGAAUUCAAAAUCAACGGCUGAAAAUAAAAAUUCAAAAAAAUGAUGAUAUAGCACUAAAAUUUUCGACCAAAAAUAUUGAUCUUGCUAUAAAUAGUAUAAAAAAUUUUCUAUCAAAAUUUUAUCUGAUUUCAACACUUUUACACGGUUAAACUUACAAAUAAUAUACAUCAACUAUUAAAAAUGGUUAGUUUUGAACCUUUUAUAUCGAAAAAUCGCAACAUUUAUUUUUUUGAUAUUUCAAAUAUGCUAGAUUAAGUCUAACGAAGCCGAUCGUCGAUUCAAAAACUUCAUCAUCAAAAACAGCUUAAGAGCACGGAGGGCUCCGUGCUCCUAAUAGCACACAAGACCUUCUCUCUCUCUCUCUAUAUAUAUAUAUAUAUAGUCCACCUAAUUUACAUGGUCGAUCUUUACUUUUAUGUGGAAAAACAAAGUCCACAAGCAUCCGCAUCCCAAAACUCAUCUCAACAAAUACGUCCAAAUAAAUAUGAAACUUUCCUACCGAUAAGCGAUUACCGCUAGAGCAUCCAAAAUGAUUUACAUCAUUGUUGAUAAAAGCAUUAUGUACACAUACAAACAGAAGAAGACUGCAAUGAUUUGCUCAUAACUGCACAUUCCUGUGUUGCCACUCGCUUUCUCCGGACAGCUCAACAUCUAAAGCAGCUCUUCUGAACUUUCCGGAGUUUUCUCCAUUUGAGUGGGUUCUGACGUCCAAGUAUCACGACGGCGUCUGGAACCAAAUACAUCAAACUAUUAAGUUUUUUUCUGUUUGCAAGUCUAGUAAUGAGUAGUCUAAGGAAUAAAAACUUUUAUAGCCAUAACAGGUAGAUGGAAUGCAUUCACAUACUUAGCAGAAAAUGGUAGCUUGAUUAUAUUAUUUGCAUGCAGACUAAACAUGACAAGAACAACCAACCAGCCAAAAUAAGAAAAAAGUUACCUAAAUAACUAUCUUUUAAUGUAUUGGUCCUUCGCAUGGCAAGUACGAGAUCUUUAUGAGCUACAAAAAUUUAAUAAAUCAUCCAUUUUUGUUAUGAGAGAUAUCCAAACCAGCGGAAUCACAGACCGAGGUAGUAAAAGAGAAAAUGAAAGCAAUUCCUUUUUUUUCUCUCUCUCUAUUUUUCUUUAUUUGUUUCAGGUAACCGGUUUCUUUGCUUGGGGCACCAAUAUACUCACAAUCUAUCUGAUAUUUUAAUUCACACAGCAUUUUCAAAUUGUAUAUCUUUUGGGCUUCACAAUUCCACAGUUUAUAAUUGUCAAGAGAAAAACAAACAGCAUUCAAAUCAAAAUUAGUCACUUUAUUUUUCUCUUCUAUACAACCAGUUAUUGGUCAUUAUUUGAAACAACAUCGGCUCUUCAUAAGCUUGAAAUGAAUUUUAUGAUAAAAAAUUGAAAUUUAUUUCCUUUCAGCUUUUUAUAAUAUAAUAAAAUCCCAGCCUAAAAUGUCUGCAGAUAGAAUGUAAAAUUAGAAAUAAAAUAGUAAAAGCAAGGUCUACCAUUUGACCAGGAUAGAAGAGCUCAUUCUAUGUCCUUAACGUCAGCUUCAAUGUCAACAACUGUUGCAGAAGUUGCCUUUCCUGAAAAACAAAUUAUGUCGACUAAAUAAACAUCAAAACUAAAUUCUGAAUCAAAAAUAGACCAGAUAGUAAUGUAAGCAAUGAAUCAUGAAUAAGGAUAGCGUGAGGUACCCUUCUCAACCCGAGGCGAGUAUUCGUUGAAUGCUUGUCUAUAUGUUGCAGAGCGGUCAGAUGAGAACUUCGCAGAUUCUCUUACAAAUUUGUCACCUUGCACUGCAAAAGUAAUUGACCAUUUUUAGUGACAAAAACAGGAAGAGAAAAUAAUCGAGACUCCAACUACAAGCAUAAGAAUAUUAACUUAGCACGUCAUCAGUCACGGUUCCCCACACUCUUUCGAGGAAUCUUUGAUAACAAUUAAUGCUGGAAUGUGUUUUAGAUGAGAAUGUAGAAAGUUUUGUUGUUAAUUUCUUUUACUUCCAUUAUAUGAUUAAGAACGCAAUGUAAUAUCUCCAAAGUACUAAAGAAGCCACCUGAUAUUACAAUAUCAGCUUUUAGUGAGUGAAAGCAAAACCAACAGAAGAUCACAAUGAAACUGAAAAAGCCACAAAGCAAGGGGAAAUUCCUACAGGGAAUUCCAUUGGAUGUCCAUGAUGAAUCGUAACAACGCCUGUAAUCAUACAGGUAUUUCUAGAUAUAUAUAUAUAUACACACACCUUGUUUAAUGAAGGUUCUGAUAGAAAGGUUUUCCCACAGAUGACCUUACUAUGACACUACAUUGCACGCAUAUUCUAGAGUUUAGUAAAAUUGCAAAAGACAUAAGCAUGUUUAGUAAAUUACUGGUAACUACAGAGAGAAAUGGAAAUCUCUCAACAAAAGAUAUUGUAAUACCAGAGAAAGGUUGACUGCAAAAUGGACAGAGUUGUGGACCAUCAUUCAGAAAGGACCUACAAAAUAUUAGAUUGAAGUUCAAUUGCUUCCGAAUAUUUAUCAAACUGCAAAGCGGAAAACAUGACUAUGUUAGGCUUACUUGAGUAUCUGGAAGUCAUUUCCGCAGUUGGGGCACUACAGAAAAAGAGAGCAACCAGAAGAUAAGAAGUGAUUAUUACAGGAAUCAAGCGCUUCAGAAUAUUGCUCUAUUGACAAUAAAAGUAUACAUGUUCAUUCUCUUCCUUGAAAGAUAGAAAUGAGAAAAAAGAAACUAGAAGGACCAAUUCUAAUUGGUGGUUUCUUCUUCUUCUUCUCUUUUUCUUCAUUUCAUAGCCUUCUUCUGGUCCCAAGAUUUCUAUCAUUCAAACUCUCUAAGCAAAAAGUCUUUCAAUUGAAGAAUAUAGGUAGCUGAAACAUACAGAAUGAUGGAAAAAUUUAAUCAUACUUUACUGAGUCAUAAUAGCUAAUAUCUUCAACUUGCAGAAAUAUACUUCUUUUGGGCGGAAAAACAAAUUGUUUCAAGCCAGAAAAUUCUUACACUGCUCUGUACAAUAUCUCGUCCUGCAAACCAGAAGAAAGCUCCUAGCCCUACGAUAGGUAGCAGCACUGCAACGAGCUGUUCAUUGCAUUGUAAGAAUUGUAACAAAUUAACAGAAAUAUAAUAAGUGAAUUAGACUGCAAACUUUUGGCCAUCGUAAUGUGAUAUCGAUUGAAAAUCAUAAAAAUGUAACACAGAAACUUCUAGUCUAUUUGUGGAUGAGAGGCACAACAAUAAAUCAAAAUAUAUAUAUAUAUAUAUAUAUAUAUAUAUAUAUAUAUAUAACAAAAAGACUAGUAGCCCGUUUGCCAACGAUUGUCCUUCUGCAAGUAAGACCUUCUACAAGCAAGAUUGGACAAAUAUGUUUUAAAAACUCAUAAAUUGGAUGUUGCACUCCAAUUAAUAAUAAGAUAACAUAUUAACCACAUAAGAACACCACUAAGUUUUCAAUACAAGAAAAACCAAGAUCCUAAGGCAAAGAGAUUCAACAGUGGAACGAUAACAAUGACCCCCUGAAAUAGCCAAUAAGUGCCCCAGUCCAGUAUAGGAAGAGGAAAAUACCCAUCAUACGAUCAAAAUAAAUACAAAGGAGCUAAGAAAAAAAAAAAGAUUUCUUCGUCAGAAUUCAGAUUAUUAGCUAACAAAGCAAGAGAUGGGGGGAGAUUCUUACCCAGAUGGAGACAAUGGCAUCUAAGAGCCAACCGAGCUGGCCAGUCAUAGUAAGAUAAGUCAAUCCAACAGCCAAAGCAAGAUUACCCAAAACCCUAGCUGUGGUGUUCUUAUCCCACCCACCUCCUCCGCCGUUAAAAUUAUUAGCUCUCACCAACACCAACCUCCCCUUCCUCCUCCUCCCCCUCCUCCUCCUCCUCCUCCUCAGCAGGAUCGCAUCUUUCUCCAACCCAUCUCCCCCGAAGAAGCACCAUCUCUCCGGCGGAGACUGAGACGACCUAAUCGCCCAUCGAUUUGGAUCGAAGAAGCUGUUUCUUCUCCCGGGUAGUGAGGAACAUUCAAAGCUGAGGCAUGCGUAGUUUCCUCGCAGACGACGGCGACGAACACUAGUAGCAAUCCGCUCUUGCAGGCAGGAGGAGGAGGAGGAGAAGAGAGGGGGAGCGACAGAGAAGCCAUAUGAGAGCAGGAGGAAGAUUAGAGGCGUGUCCGUGACUCUCUACUCUGUACUCACUCACCAGAGAUUUAUUUUAUUUUUUUAGAAAACCAGAGGGUACCACGGUUUCUUUUUUUUUUAUUUCAAAAAAAUUUUAAAAAAAAAAUCUCUUUUCUUGCGUUUCCGUGCGUUACUACUGUUUGUAUGUAGGGGUGCAAUGUGGGCCGUGCCGGGCUGGCACGGCCCACAUUANGGAGUCCAGCCCGACACGGCCCGGCUCCAAGGUCGGGCCGCCGUGCCGGGCCAAAAUUCUUGGACCCCGGCCUGGACUGCACGGGCCGUGCCGGGCCGGGCCAGGCUUCAGGCCAGCCCGAAGCCAGAAAUUUGGUUUUUUCAGCUUUUUUUUUUUUGUAUUUUGCUUUUAAUUAAUUUUUUAAUAAAAAGAACUUUUUGACUUAUAAUUUUUAAGUUACAUAAUUAUAUCCAACAUUUUUAAAACUCUUUUAAAAAUUUUAUAAAUUUAAAAAAAUUAUAACACAAACAUUCAAGAGGUAUAACACAAAGAAAGGCAUUCAAAUAGCAAGUAAUCCCUUGGCAGUGACAGAAAAAUGAUCAAGCUCUAAAGCAAGUAUCACUGAGCGGGUUAUGGCCGAAAGCUCCCAUCCCAUCAGUCACCUUUCGAAGCUCUUUCCCAGUUAACUUUUUAUUAUUUAAAGGGAAAUUUAUAUUAAAAAAAGCACAAAAAAAUAUGUAAAAUUUGAAUUAAUUAUAUUAUAUAAUUACAUUAGAGAAAAGUACAAACAUUUACAAAAUCAAAAAUAUAUUUAAAAUAAAAUGAUAUUAUUUAUACAACCAAUUAACAAACUAUAGAGAAAAAAAAUCAAUAAAUUUUGUUCUUCAUUACAUCAUUUUUUUACUUAAAAAAAUGUACCUACUAAAAAGAGGUACAAAAUAAAAAAGAAGAGGUGCAAAAACUAAUAAGCAAUAGUGAGGAGAUUGGGGCGAUUGCACUGUAGCAUGCCACAAGUGUUGAUAUAUUUUUAGCUAGUUAACUCUGUUUCAUCUGAAGAUGUAAACUCAUGACCUCCUUUAUCUUACAUUCUUAAUUCUACAGCUCGCCAUUUUUUCAAGCAGACUAAAACCUCGACUGCAUCCUUCUUAAGCCGGAUUUUAUAAUCAUCCAAUAUUCUUCCACCUGCACUAAAAGCAGACUCGGAUGCCACUGUUGAAAUCUGCACAGUUAGUAGAUCAUGUGCCAUGGCAGAAAGCACGGGAUAUGUACUUUCAUGUGUUUUCCACCAGGCUAAAAUAUCUAAUUUAUCUGAUUCAUCAUCAUUAAAAAGAUUUGAAAAAUCGGUUUGUAAGUAAAAUUGAAGUUCAUUAAAAGAAGGUGCGCUAAAAUCCGUUUGUUUUUAUUUUCUUACUAAAGAUAAAAUUAUAUUUUUACUAGUUUUACCACUACUACUGCUGCUGCUGCUUUGUAACUGUGAAGAAUAUGGUCGUUUACUACCCGAAGCAGUUGCAUAAACACCAUACAUUUCACAUAAAAUACUAUUUACUAUUUGAAAAAUAUUUUCCCUAUUUGAAUAAUUUGUUGAAUUAAUUUCUAAAAAUUCAUUAUAUUGAUUAAGGGCAAUUUCUACUCCAUUUAAUUUAAUUCUAGGAUCUAUUAUAGAUGCCAAAAGAGUUACAAUAGAAAUUUCUUCCCAAUAGUUUUUAAACUUAGAUUCCAUCAUAAAAACAAUUUGACCUAAAAGAGGAGAAUUUCUAUAUUCAGCAAAAUGGCUACUCAUAAAUAAAAUUUGAUUAAGAAAAUGACAUGAAGUAGAAUAAUACACACCUGAUAAAAGUUUGGUUGACUCAUAGAAUGGUUGCAAAAAAGUCAUAAGAAUUUGUCUAAUAUCCCAUUCUUCAUUAGUUAUGGGAUCAUGCUGCAUUUUCCUAUUACAAAAAAUAGAUAAAACAUUUCUAUCCUCAUAACAAUAUUGCAACAUUUUAUAUGUAGAAUUCCAUCGGUGCUGAACAUCAAAAAUAAAUUUUUUAUACUUUUGGCCCAAUUGUCUACAUAAACUUUUAAAAUCUUGUUUUCUUAGACCGGAGCUAUGAAUAAACAUAAUACAAUCUUUUAAUUUUUUUAUUUGUGGACUAAUUAUUUUUAAUCCCUCGUGUACACACAAAUUUAUAAUAUGACAUGCACAUUUAUUAUGAAAUAAUUUUUCAUUUAAGAUAGGAUGCAAAUUAUUUUUCAAAAUUUGAACUGCAGUUCUAUUAUUGCUAGCAUUAUCGAAACUAAUUGAAAAUUUUUUUUUGGCUAAUGUUAUAAAUUUGCAAAACAUUUUUAAUAGCUUGAGCAAUAUAAAUACCAGUAUAUGGAAACUCAAGUUCUUGAAAACCAAUAAUUCGUUUUUGUAAUAUCCAAUCAGAAUCAAUCCAAUGUGCAGUAAUACAUAUAAAACUACGUUUAUUUCUUGAAGUCCAAAUAUCAGAAGUAAGUGAAAUUUUUGAAUUCAAAUUUUCUAAAAUUGAAAUCAAAUUUUGUCUAUAUUCAAGAAAUGCUUUUAUUGAAUCUUUACGACUAGUAUUUCGAAAAGUUUUUUUGUAUGCGGGAUUUAAAGCUGUUUUCACAUAGUGUUCAAAAUAUGGACAUUCGGCAAAUAUAUAUGGUUGUUCAGCUCCUACAAUAUACAAUGCAAGUUCUCUUCUAUUACGUUCAUGAGAAUAUUAAAAUAUACUAACUCCACUAGAAGUAAAAGCAAGUUGUGAUUGUUUUGUUUCUUUACCUUCUUUUACCUGAUGUUUCUGAAUAUGCCUGUUAAGAUGACCUGUUCCACCGGUACUAUCACAAGAAUAAUGAACUCCACAUAUAGUACAAAUAGCUCGCAUGCCUUUCCCUUCAAUUUCUUUGAUAUUGAAGUAUUUCCAUACUUCUCUUGUUCUUUGUUUAGACGCUUUUUGAGAACCCACGUCUAAAUUUGAUUUAGGUUGCGAGCUGCCGUCACCUGAUGUAGAACCACCAGUUGCAGUUUCUGAUUGAUUAUUAACAUAAUAUUCAGGAGUAUAAUCAGUGCAAGAAAAAUCUAUAUGAGAAAAUUCACCCGACAUUGUUGUAAAAAAUAAAUACAAUAAUAUAAAAGUAAUUAAAUAAAAUUUUUAAAAAUUUAAAAAUAAAAAAAAUAAGAGAUUAAUUAUUGUGCUAAAAUUAAAAUUUUGUAUAGCAAAAUUGUAGAGAGGCUUUGUAAAAAAUAAUGUUGAAAAAAUUAUUGUUGAAAAAAGUUAAAAAUAUUUGCAAACUAAACUUGAGAGUUGAGGAAAGAAAAUUUAAAUUGAAAGUGUAAAAAUAUAAUCUGGCAAAAGUAUGGGAAGCGGCAUAGAACGGGAGAAGAAACGAUCAGAACCAUUUUUCUUCUGGCGAGGAUCAAUAGAAGGAUCGACGAUGAAUCUGUCUCAAUUUUCUGUUAGAAAAAGAAUGCUAUAAUCCCCUAAAAAGUCCAUCCGAACCGGCAUGAUUGGAAAAGGAAACGAUUCAUGGAAAGUUGGAAAACUGACAUGUGGGCCCUAUAUCAUAAAGAAAUUUUUAAAAUGGGGAGAGGAACCGGUGUAGGGAAGUUGAAAAAUCAACAGAUGGCCCCACGUGAUGAUGACAGGGAGAUUCAUGGAAGUGGACCCCACGUCAAAAAGAAUAAAGAAUCAUUUAUUUAAAAUGAAAAGGGCAUCCAAUUUAUAAAAAACUAAAAAACUGACAGAUGGGCUCCACUUCACAAAAAAAAAUAUUUACAAUAACUACAAAUACUAAUGGGUAGGCCCUACAUACCCUAAAAUUAAGCUAUAUAUGCCACGUGGAUAAAAGAUUAAGGGGAUUAAUAUAAGUUUAUCGAUGGUUUAUUGAAUCAUCUAAUAUACUAUAAAUUUUAUUUUUUUGAAAGUCGUCCCUGCUGUAGCAAUGCACAGGCCCGCAUGGGGCUAGCCCAACAUGGGCCUUCGUGCUGCAUGCACGGGCACGCAUGUCGCGGGCCACGUGGGUUUCUUCCCCACGGAAGGAAACACUUUUUUUUUUUGAAAAACUUGUAAAAUUCAUAAUUUUAAAAAUAGAACUUCAAAUCUUACAAAAAAAGAUAUCAAUAGAAAACUUGUGAGGAGCUCUAUGAAAUUAUACAAGUUUCAUAAUGCAACAAAUAAGCCUUCCGUAAAGUUUCGAUUUAGGGUUUCGUUUUUCUCAUAAAAUAUAAAACCAAAAUAAAUCAAACUUUGUAAAUUUAAUCUACAACAUAGAUGCUGCAAGAUGUGUAAAAAUUAUGCAAUAAUAUCUAUCCUAGAAAAAUCCAUCAUUAACACCCACAAGCAUGUAAGGAAAAAUUCAAACAAUGAUAGAUUUAAUUCUUGCAUGCAAUCUUGUUAAAAAAUUAAUUUAGGGCAUGAAAUCAACCUAGUAUGGCUCUGAUACCAAUGUAGACUGAAGCGGAAAUAUUCUUUCGUACCUUUUGUGGAAGUGACUCGCGCUAGAACGCGAUGAGCCCGAAUCGUGGAAGUUGAUUCACGUGUCUCGAAUCGUGUAUAAAGGUCUUUCUAACGCUCCAAUCCCGCGAUAGAUCGAACUAUGAAUGAGCACGAUCUCUAGUCCACUGUUCAAAACCCUCUAGUGUCAAUAGGUUAAUGAAGAAUGUGGUUUCUCUCUCUAACAAGAUUGUAGCACACUGAAAUUUAGCAAAAUUGCAAGGUUCUAGUGUUCGAAUAGUAUUUUGUACUAUCCUUGGUAUUCUUGAGGGUCGUUGACUGUGUUCCAACCAAUUACUCCCGUCUUGAGGAGCCGAGGAUGAGUACUUAGCACCAAAACCUCCAAAUUGCAAGUUUUGGGAUGCUAGGUACCGGUACCAGAGGGAGGUACCAGAACCCCGUCGCUUAACCAAGAGGGCUGCUCUCGGGUUUGAGCUCUGCCAGGCAGAGUACCGAUACUGCAUCGCCCGAGUACCAGUACUGGAGCCUGGUACCAGUACUGCAUCGCGCGGGUACAGGUAUACUGCAAUUUGUCUGCUUUGCAGAGGUUCGGGUUUAACCGGUAUUCCAGCCUGCGUUCCGGUACGCAAUGUAGAUGCAAACUGCAUGUUUUUUAGGGUUCUUUUUAGGAUUGUUACAUCUCUAUAAAUAACCCCUCACCCCUUUGAGGGGCUUUUGUGCUGGAACCAGAGAGGAGAAGGUGGUAAGCUUCUUCCUCUUCUUCUCUUUGAUUUUUCCUCUUUUUUGCUUGGGAUUUUGAGGUGUGAUCUCACCUUUUUGCUUCUUUUUGCUUGGUGAUGAUUCUUCCACCUUAGAGAAGCCUUGGAGUUGGUGUUUGGAGCUUGUUUGAGGAAAGAAUAGCUUGGUUUGGAGCUUAAAGAAAGGUUAGUGACUUUGAUCUCUCCUUUGGAUAAUGCUUUAUUGAAUUUUUAGAGAUGAAAACCUAGUUUUAGAAAUUAUGGUUUCUUUUGGGGUUUCUCUUGGUAGAGCCUUAGGGGCUUAAUUGAUGGUUCCCAUGCCUCCUUUAAGUGGAUUAGAAGUGUUCUAGCUCUCAUUGGAAUCUUGGGAGAGUUUUCAACCAUUUAAGGUAAUUUUCUACUUAUUUAUGGGUUGAAUUUUGUGGAUCUUGUGAGGUGUUCGUUUGAAACCCCUAACCCUCUUAGAAUCUUUGUUAGAGAGCUAGGAGACUUGUGGGCAUCCUCGUUCACGCAAACGAAGGGGAUUCGAGGGGUAUCCGGUGGGUUUGACCUCACCGAAAUGGGUGAACUCCCCUAUGUCGUUGCUUUUAUUAUAAAAUGAAAAAUGAUGCAUAUUUCUGCUAGAUAGAGCAUAAAUGAAUUUUUGAAUGCUUAAAAUGCAUAUGUCAUGUAUCAUGUUUUAUAGCCUCUAUGUAGUAGAGAGACAAGUAUAUAGUAAACUUGCAUAUGAAUAGCACUCUUUACCUAUAGUUGGAAUCAUAUUUCAUUUAGUGAAAAUGACAAGUUGUACAUGCUCUUGGAUAUAGAACUUAUGUUGACAUAGUAAACAUUAAUGUCAUAUAGUGACACUUGACUUAGUAAAUGGUUGAAUCUCUACAUGAUGACAUAGUGAUAGACCGUUGAUUCAUUAGUAUUUAUUCCAUAUUUUAGACAUGAUGACAGUAGGCUUGAGACGGAUGAUUACGCUUGCUUGCCAUUGUGCUCAUUCGCACAUGCUUGUGAGGAUCGCUCCCCACAAGCCGGCACUCCAGAGAUAGCCAACGCGACACAAGUUCGCCCAUGCGGGAUUGAGUGUCGAAAUGGAAUGUCGUGGGGGAGGCUCAUUCCUAAAGUAGGAAUGUUGACUACCACGGGGCCAUUUGGCACAGCGCAAGCCAAACUACACUUGUGUAGGUCCUAAUUGAUUGGAACAAUGAUAAAUAAAAGUGAAAUGUAGACAUCAUACUAGUUAGUGCAUACUAGUUGUACAUGCUCAUUCAUGUUUGAAUAGUACUUAUAAAUGUGAAACUUCGUGCUAAGUAGAGGUAUAGUAGUUAGUAAAUUUUAAUAUUCGCUCUUUAUAUAUGUUGCUUAUUUAGUUACAUCCUUAUACUAUGUCACGCCCCAGACCGCACCACCCGAAAACGGUACCAAUUUGGUCCGAUUCGAGGGCGGCGUGCGCGACCGCCGAACGGACAGAGUCUCCCCUGUCCGCCCAAGGCUAAGCAACGGAUUGUGUACAACAAGUCCCCAGGAAGAACAACUUGCAUUCAUACACAAUCAANUACCGGUACAGCACUCACAGAAUGCUGUUUCUUAAGCUGCUUCGGUUUCUUUUCUCACCGAACAACGCUAAAACCAUUCCAACACCUUUGGAACUCAUUUUUACUCUUCCAAACAUGUCGAAACACCGAAUGGAACUCGUCCAAUUCGUUUAAUCGCUCACUUUGGUCCAUUUGGCCAAAGUUAGCCAAUAUCGUCAAAUUUCGAUAUCUUACAUACUACUUAUGCCUCCAUGACCUAGUGGUGUAUUUCACUGAUGUCGGUGACUUACCCACUGGGAACUAUUGACUAAUAGUUCUCAUUCCCAUUGUGUUGUUGUUUUUGUUUAUAGAGUCUUCCACGCCGGGAGAGGCUAGGGACCGCGGCAAGGGAGUCGCCUCUAACUAGACCGAUUGGAGAUUGUACUAGGUGGUCAUCUCUCCUUUUGUUUAGUUGGGAGAGAAACUUUUUAUACCCUAUGUAUAGAGACGACCAUUUUUUUAUCUAGUUUUAUUUAUGUAGAUCUUGGGAUGUAUGUACUACUUGAUGGUUUACUCUAGUUGUUCAGUUUUAUUUACUUCUACUUGUCAUUGAAAAUUAGUUGUAAUUAUGCUCUGAUAUCAAACUAGAUAUUUUUUUUUUCUCGUUUUAUUAUACUAUUGUUGUAGACGCCUUAUAUAUUGUAAACAUGUGGCGGGUCUGGGCACACAUCGGGCGGGCUUCCGCUGGAUCCCGGGGCGUGACAAAGAUGGCUCACAAAUUACUCACGAAUUUAUGAGUAUUUUUCUCUAUUUUUCUUAUUUUCAUUCUAUAAGAGAAUAACCCGUAUCUUUAUAAGGGAUCCCAAAAUUCUAAUAGCUAACCAAAAGAUUAGACCAAAUCGGUUUAUAAUUGUUAUCCUAAUAUGGGUACAAUAUAUCUCUAAUUAGCUUUCCAAUUUAAAGGCGAGAUUAAGUCUAGUCCAAUUAGGCAACAUAAUAACCGUUGGAUCGAGCCCGAUCAUGGACGCACUUGAUUCGGUUUAACCGAAUGCCAACAUUUUCUAUACUGUUGGCUUGCUUACAAAACUAAGCUUACAAAACUAAGCAUUCGAAUACUUGUUAAAUUUACUUUUCUAGACUUUUAGAAAUUAUGGUAUCUGCACUAAGGUCAAACAAACUCAAAUGCUUUGGUUAGAAAUAGAGAUCAUGCAUGUACGUCUCAUUAUAUCUAAACGGGCCAAAAAGAAAACUAAAUGUGAGAUUUUCUUGGAUAUUCAUUGGGGGUCUAGUUUUAUAUGUCAACACCAAUCUACUUCAAUAUACUUGCUAAAUAAUUUAGCAUGUAAUGCACAUAACACAGAAUAAAAGAUGAGAAACUAAUUCAUAUCCUACUUAUAGAAUUAAUAGGAGAUUUAAAUUCUUAACUUGUUCAAAAUUUUGAAUUCAAAAUUUUGAAAUUUUAUAGAAUAAAACAGAUUUUAAUUAUUGUAAUCAAUUUCAUGAGAUAAAGACCAAAUAAGUACUUUGGAUGAUUCUGUUGCCAGAUCCAAAGUUGAGGGAAAUAAAAGACUAUUUUGACAGCCUAAGAGCGUGUUGAAGGAGAAUAUCAUGGGUGGGGGAGAAGAAGAAGAACCUACAAAGGAAGGGAAUCUGAUCUAGAGUUUUCAAGGGUUCUUGGUUGGUUGGUGGCUCCUAUAGGAUGGAGGGAGAGAGAGAAGAGGGCUAUGUAGACAUUUGUGUUAUGCCUCGGUGCGGAAGCCCAAUCAGAUGCGGUUUGCACAAAGCGAAAAACAGUUAUAUGUACAGUCAGUUUACAAUGAGAAAUAUAUGUACACAAAUAGGAACAAUUAAGGAAAAAAAAAAAACUGUCUGCCGCCAGGAACAAACCGGCCCCGCCCCAAGCUUUUCUUCUGCGAGUGGUCAUUCAUGGUAUAGAUUAAAUUUGUUUAAAUUUUAUUUUGAAAUCAGAAUUAUAAAUUCAUAACUUCUAGUAGACUCAAGAAUAUCUGCUAUUAAUUAUCCCACACUCUUAGUGUUAAGAAAUCCUCGAUUAAUAGAUCAAAUAUAAAUACUGAUAAUGAAAAAAGACCGUAGUAUAAAGAUGAAUUUGUAUUAAUAUAAUUUUUCAAGUGCAUGGUUUAAGUAGAAGCAUGCCCCCACUAAACAUUAAUGAAAUGCUCAGUAUAAUAACUUGGUGGUCAUUCAAAAUUGGGUCGCUCAGUUUAAUGACUUAGCAGUCAUAUUGAGUUUGAACUUGGUUUGUUUAGUUUAAUGACUUAGCGGUCGAAUCAAGUUUGAAUUUAGUUUGCUCACAAUUAUUCAGUUUAACAACUUGAUAGUCAUUUGUUCAGUUUAAUGACUUGUCGAUCAUAUUUGAACUUGAUUUGUUUAAUUUAGCGACUUGACAGUCGAUUGAAGUUGAGAUGCUCAGUUUAACGAUAUGGCGGUCGGCUUGAAGUUGGCGUGCUCAAUUUAGUGACAUAGCGGUCGGUUUAAAAUUGAGGCUCAAUUUAACAACAUGGCAAUCAGUUUGAAUUGUAUUGCUUAGUUUAGCGACAUAGCAGUCGGUUUGAAGUUGCGGUGCUCAGUUUAACGACAUGGCAGACGGUUUGAGGUUGUAGUGCUCAACUUAACGACAUAGCGGUCGGCUUGAAGUUGAGGUACUCAAUUUAACAACAUUGUAGCUUGAAGUUGAGAUGCUCAGUUUAACGACAUGGUGGUCAGCUUGAAGUUGAAGUGUUCAAUUUAACGACAUGGCAGUCAGCUUGAAGUUGAGAUGCUCAGUUAAAUGAUAUGGCUGUCAGUUUGAAGUUGAGAUACUCAAUUUAAAGACAUGACAAUCGGCUUAAAGUUGAGAUGCUCAGUUGAACGACAUAGCUGUCGGCUUGAAAUUGAGAUGCUCAGUUUAACGACAUGGUGGUCGGCUUAAAUGCAGGUUGCUUAGUUUAAUGACUUUGUAGUCAUUUGAAUCCAGCUUGUGAGUCGAUUAAGUUGACUCGGCCGAUUAAUUUGAAUCAGCUCGAUUUGAAUCGUUAAUCUGUUUCGAUUCGGGUGGAGCUGGUUUCACUUAAUUUGGAUCACUUUGGCUGGGUUCAGAUUGAAUCGAUUUGAACCCCUUGUAUUUGAUUAGAGUUGAGCCACCUUAGGCUUGUUUGGCCCUCUUUAAUUUGGUUUGGGUCGGACCUCUAUGCUUUUGUUUAGGACCCACUGAAAUUUGAUUUAGAUCGAAUCCUUAUAACUUGGUUCGAGGCCCACCGUAUUUUAUUCAUGUGAGUUUAUGACGAACUCAUUAUAACGGAAGGCUAUCUUUGGUUCAUGAAAUUGGCUCAUGAUGAGAAACCAUUUUUGGUUCAUGAAGUCAAUUCAUGUUGGAACUCCAUUAUGAAAGCUCAUUUACCAUUCAUGAAAUUAGUUCAUGAUAUGAGCCUCCAAUAAAAGUCCAUUUUUAAUUCUUGAAGGUAGUCCAUGAUAGAAGCCAAUUUGGAAAGCUGAUUUUGUUUGAUGAGAUUAGUUCACGAGAAGGCCAUUAUAUCUCAUGAAAAUAAAAGUCCAUUUUGUUUGGUUUAGAUAAAUUUGGUUUGGGUUGUUGGAUGAUAUGGGUUUGAUAGGUUUGGAUUUUAUGCUCUUGGGCUUUGAUGGUUUUAUUUAUGGACUAGAUUGGAUUGGAUUUUAUUUGUGGACUUUAGGUUUUGGAUUUUAUUUCUGGAUUUGGGUUUUAGGUUUUAUUUGUGGACUUUGGGUCUAGGGUUCAUUUGUAGAUUUUGGAUUUUAAGUUUUAGUUGUGGAUUUUGGAUUUUGGGUUUUAUUUAUGGAUUUUGGGUUUUGGGUUUUAUCUGUGAACUUUAGGUUUUGGAUCUUAUUUGUGAACUGAAAUGGAUUAUGGGUCUUGUUUGUGAACUGAAAUGGAUUUAGGGUCUUAUGAGCUUUGGGCCGAAUUUGUAUGUAGAUUGUAUUAGGAGAUUUAUUUGAUGUCGUACUGCAUUAGCAUGUGGGCUGAAUUCAGGGCCCGCAUGCAGACUAGGCCUGCAUUUACGUACAGAAUAGAUUCAGGGUCCAUGAGUAAACUAGACUGCAUUGCGUACAGGCUGGAUUCAAAGCCCGCAAAUAGACUGAGCUUGCAUUUGCAAACGGGCUGGAUUCAGGGCCAAUAUCUAGACUCGGCCUACAUUGUCAUAUGGGCUGGAUUCAGAAUCUUUUGGUCUGGAUUGAAUUUGGCUUUAUUGGUAGAAUGCUAGGAUUUUGUUCGUUGAACCUAUAGGUAAAUUGUAAAUUGGGCUUCUUUAACGUAAUUAACUCCAAGCCGUUCCCCUUUUUUAUUGGAUUCGAUCUGAAUUAAUUUAGUCCGAUCUAAGAAUCAAUACUAAAUUCAUGACUCAUCAAUUUUUCUCUUACACUCAUAGGGCGUCGCUAAAACAACCCGUGCCAAACACGAGGUUUGAUUAAGUCAAGUUACGCCUAUCAUAAAGAUGGCAGCUUGAUCAAAUAUGUGUUGAAUUGAACCGCACCUAUCACGAAGAUAACAUAUGGGUCGAAUAGUGCUUAUCACGAAAAUAGCGAGUUAAUCAAGUCAAAUCGUGCCUAUCACGAAGAUAGCGAAUGACUCAAAUAAUAUACCUAUCACGAAGAUGGCAAAUCAAAAUAUGAUCAUUUUUAUUUUUUAUUAUUAUUUUUGUCCAAAUGCAUGGGAUUGAUCAUGUCGGGCCUAUCACGAAGAUGGUCGUUCGAUCAAUCUUUUGAUUGUGUUGAGCCAUUCGUGAAGAUGGCUGCUUGGUAUAGGAAUUAUCGAUACAAACGCGGUGUGAUCGUGUCGAUUUUAUCACGAAGAUGGCCACUUGAUCAAUCCUUUGACCAUGUCGAGCUAUCGCGAAGAUAACCGCUCGGUAUAAAGAUUAGUGAUGCAUUUGCAUGGUAAAAAUAGCGAUUUAAUAUCGAAUUUGAUUGGUCGAGCCUAAUAUGAAUAUGGAUCAUAUUGAUCAAAUUGACCCAAAAAAAAAAUCACACUUACACCACUUGUAUGCAUGCAUCAUCUUUUGUCAUUGGAGAAGAAGAAAGAAGAAACCAUAAGGCCUCCUUGCACGUCGUCGGAGUCGUCGCAGCCGUCGCCAUCGUCAUCCUGCUUCAACCCUUUUUUUUUCUUUGCUGUUUUUUUUUUACAUUUUUUUUUUGUUCAGAGAGAGUGACCCAACUCCCUCCCCCCUCUCUCUCCCCCUCUCUCUCUCUCUGUACGAAUCAGAGAGAGAGAGAGGGAGAGGCCGGCCCCCUCUCCUAACGCGCCUCUCUUUUCUUUUCUUUUCUUUUCUUUUUAUUUUUUUAUUUUUUUUGCUUUUUUUUUCUUUUUUUCUUUUCUUUUCUUUUUUUUUUUUUGAAAUCUCCAAAAAUCUCCUUCCUUGAAUCUCAUGGUCUGAUUUAUAGUAAUUUUAAAAUCUCUUUAUUUUGAAAAAUAAUUCAAAUAUUUUUUUAAGAAAAGAUAAUAAUAUUUGUUUAUCUCUUUUCUUGUUGACAACUAAUUCUUUAAGGAAAGUAGUAACUAAAUCGCAAUUUAAUUUUUAUUUUUAUGUUCUCAAUUUGAAUUUUUAUUUUUUUUUGAAUUUUUAAAUUUCUUUUUAUCCCAACAAUAAGUAUAAGCUUACUAAUUCAAAAUAUUACAACUUUUUAUCAAAUUUAAAUUACAUUAAUUUGCAUCUCCCAAAAGUUGUCCUAGGUUCUAGUGACAUCCUAUAAAAUAAUCUAUUAACAAACUAAGAGAAGGUUAGCUAGCUAGCUAUGUAGCUCCCGGCAUCGUUACCAUGAAAUGCAACUUCCUGCUUGCGAUUGAAUCUGACAAACAAAAACAGAAAAAUGUGAGGAAUAAGAUCGAAGAAUAAUUUUCGAUGAGCGCGAUCGCUGAGAGGGUGAGCUAUAUAUACUCGUUCUAGAUGAUGCAUAUAGUGAAAGGUUGGUUAGUAACAAAGAUAUAUCAUUAAUUGAAAAUUUUAUUUAGAACUACUCUAAAAUUCUAGCUUGUCAUUUACAAAUAGCCUAGGAUGGUCGUUGUCAUGAUUAUUGCCCAAGGAGCUGAAUAAUCGUCCUUGUUAUGCUAGCUAGUUCCUAGUUCGACGUUAUCAAGCGCCAUGGAUUGGUCAAUGCUGCAAGUCGGAUUUUGCUGGAUGUCGCGGCCAAGCUUUUUCGCUGGCCAGAGGUCUCUCUUAAUUGGUUAGAUUUAUUGAAGCCGAAAGCCUCCGAAAGUCAAUUUCGGGCUGAAGCUGCUUGGUAUAGAAUUAAUUUUGGUGCAAAUUUAGGAUUUUUGGGGCUUCCCGGGCUGUGAUGUGAGCGAGCCGCUAGUUGCCACUGGUUGGGAUAUAUGGCGUCGUCUGCACCGUCCAUUAAUGCCUCACACAAGUUGUUGCAUUACGUCCGUUGAAAAUGCGUUAGGGGCUGGAUAUAUAUAUGUACAUGUUGUCCCGUCAGCCGAAAAUGGCGAAUUCGCCACUUCAAAAUCCUCCUAUUGUAAAUUGCUCUCCUAGCUCGCCAAAAGGGUGCAUGAGCGAGAGACCUCGAUGGCCGUUUGUGAUGAUUGUGAUGCCCAGUUGCCGAAAACAGAAAAAUAAAAUAAAAUAAAAUAAAAUAGUGGAUUCCGGGCUGAGUCGAGCUCACCGCUAGCUAAUUGUGGUUGUGCCACUGGUUGCGGUCGCGCAUGUGAGCCUUAGUGCUAUCCCUUUAUGUCAAGAAGGUGAGUUGGGAACCCUGCUAGAGUGUAGUAAGGUUAGCUGCACGUUCCGACACUUAAGUGGCGUUGGAAUGCCAUUUCGGGCCGUUUUGGCCAAUCCGGGCCGUGAGAAGCCCUCGGUUGUGAUCGUAGCUGGCCGAGGCUUCAUAGGAGGUGUGUCGCAUAUAAAGUCAUCUCUCGGGGCUGAACGUGGGUCGUGUGCACGUUCUAACACCAAAGCGGUGCCGGAGUGCCCUUUUCGGACCAUUAUUGUUACACUGUUCAGUAAGGAGCUCUCGACCAUGCUCGUUGCUAAUUGAGGCUUCGUUGAAGUCGUAAUACGUUCGGAAUUGACCUCUCAGGAAUGAACAUGUGUGGCUUGCUAUUCCAAAGCUGUAUCUUGCCACAGCAAGGCACUGUUGCUGCAUUUGAACUCUGAAAUUUAUUGGAGGUUUUUCGGAGGGUACCCGUAAUAAUCGUAACCAUGAGCAACGGGACAAUCUUAGAGGUGCUGCUAGUUCCUAUUCCAAAAUCGGCAUAGAUUGGAACCUAUUACAGCAUGUUUUGAGGCUGUGGCCUUUGGUUUAGCGCACGAUAUGCAGUGCUGUCCACAUACAUUUAGCAGUGCCUUUCUGGACAGUACUGGAGCUGUAGGAAUGCCUAGGGGCCGAUCGUUUGACCGGAUUGUGGUUAAGGCUUCCGGUGUGGCUGUACUAUGAGAGUUUUAACCCGAAUGAGUCGUUCUACAGUCAGUCUUAACUAGGGACAGGUUUGACGCUUGUGUGAUUGUUCUGAAUUCGGGUGAUACCCAGAGAGGCUUGCCAAGCCGAGGAUUUCAAUUCACUGAGUUGAGGUGAGUGCUUCGGUCCAAAGCAAUAUAGUGAGCUUAUGUGGUUUUCUUUGUCUAUACCUCGUUAUAUCUUGUUCCUUUCUACUUGCACCUACUAUGUCUAUUAUUUAUCCAUGUUGUAUAAUAUUGCGUGAGAUUUUGAGACGUAGAGUACAUUGGUUUCUUACCUAUUAUUGGACAUACUUUGACUUAUGGUUCCGCUUGGACUCGUUGAUGCUCCUUGUGAGUCUCCCGGCUGAUCACCGUCGUUGGACAAUAUAGUUUGAGCAUACCACAUAUGACUGUUGCUGUCAGGCCCCGUGACCCGCCAAUUUGGUCAGACCCAGGCACGUCGAUCAGACGCCGAACGGAUAGCACCUCCCCUGUGCGCCCAAGGCUCGACAACAAGAUCAUGCACAAGAAUUUGCCGAGGAGAAAUUCAAAUAACAUACAUGAUCUAACAAGAAGUACCACAAAUUAAGAGCAAGAAUCACAAGUAAUAUACAAGUGAAAUAAAGAGAGAUAUAUCUAGCUAUUACAUCACAUUUAACCUUUACAUAUUGAUUUAUAUUUUCAUCUCCCAAAAUGAAUACAUAUUCUUCUCAUAAUACAAAAUGGCUCUCCAACAUAAGUAACUCCCAAAUACAUCACAUCUCUAUGUACACGAAGGUACUCUAAUGCAAAAGGAAACUACUAGCUACUAGGGCGCUAUGCCCUUACCACGGUCCUCUGCCGAUACGCUCUCACUAGGCCCUGCAACAAAGUGGGGUGAGAACUAUAUAAAUAUAGUUCCCAGUGGGUUCGGCCGCCGAUUCCGCCGAUUUUUUCACUAGGUCUAAGCAGGCACAAGUAGAUAGAUAGAUAAAUAUGAAAUUGAAGAGCAACAUAGUAAAGUAAUCUGCAACAAUCUACUAUGCCUUCAAUAAUCAAGGAUAUAAGCUACAACAUAGUAUAUGAUCUAUGCCUCAAUGAUCUGAUGUAUGAGCAACUACAUAGUAUGUAAUCUACACAUGCUACUAUGCCUCAACAAUAAUGAAAAUGAUCUACUACAUAGUAAUGUAAACUACACAUGAUACUAUGCCUCAACAACAAUGGAAAUGAGCUACUACAUAGUAAUGUAUCCUGCAACAUGCUACUAUGCCCCAAAUAUCAGAAUGCCAUAUCCAAGUGAAAUGCAUGAGCUACUACAUAGUAUAAACCAACAACAUGAUACUAUGUCUCAAAACUGAAUAUAUAAAUGAGCUACUACCUAGUAUAUGAUCUACCACAUGAUACUAGGCCUCAAAUAAUCACAUGAAUGAACGAGCUACUAUAUAGUGCAUCGUGCAACUAUGACUCAAUAAUAUCCAAUCUCAUGGCCAACCCGAAGGUUGCUACCCCGACUCACUCUCAAUCUCAUAGGUGAGGAGAAGCUGUACUCGCACACCGAGACCGUCUAUGGGACAACUACGUGUGCCCCUGUCGUGAAGUACUCCGGAGACCACUACUUCGGUGAAGCGACCACCAACAAGCGAAACAGACUAGUGAGUAUGAUCCAAUCCUCACAAGAGGAUACCCUAUCUACUAGGGCCACAAUGCCUCAACUGCACUAAUGUCAAAUGCAUAAUGUUCACAACAUGACAAUCAGAAAAAUCUACUAUCCCUAGGUUCAAAUGCCAUAGUGUUCCACUACACUAAAUUUGAUGUCACUCAUUUAUGUCAUGAUGUUGUAUGUGUCUCAAUACACUAAAUCGACAUGCCACUCGUCCAUAUUAUAGUGUCUCUAUUACACUAGUCCAAAUGCCACUCAAUAUGUCAUGAGGUUGUAUGCGUCUCAAUACGUACACUAAGUUGACAUGCCACUCGUUCACAUUAUAGUAUCUCUACUAUACUAAUUUGAAUGCCACUUGUUUUCAUCAUCACAAGUCCAAGUUCAUCAUCAUUCUUGUCACUAUAGGAUUUUUGUCACAUGACCCAAUCCUCAUGCAACCUAAGUUUAAGUGUCAAGCCCACAAUGCUACACUACCAUAGGAAACAUGCAAAAAAAUGGAAGGUAUAUCUACUAAUCCUAUAAUGCACAAUAUCAAUAUAUGAAUAUGAUCAAAAUAGAACUUAAACAUAAAAGGAAGCCCGGUUGCUUCGGGAUGGACACCCCCCACCUUCUUAUGCUACCAAAAGGCUAUGUUUCCGAUUUUGUGAUUUUUAUAUGCCUCCGCGGCGUUCCAGGCGAAAACGAAGCCAAAAAUGGAUUUUUCGCCAAUAUCUCUUCGUAGGCUCGACGAAUGCUCAAACGGAGUGCACGAACGCGUUCGGGGACCUAACAAUUAGGUUAGAGAAUGGUCAAUUGAGAUCAAAACCCUCCAUGAACAAAAGCCUUCUUUUUGGAGCCCUAAAUCACCAUUGUUGCAAUUAGCUUCAUACAAGCUGCUAUUCUUGCAAUAAAUGAGAUUAACUACUUUUAGAGCAUCAAUAGAUACCAUUUCUAGGGUUUGCAAACAAAUCCCUAGCCUUCUACUAUGAGAGAGUUCAAAAAGCUUACCUCUACUAGCUUUCCUCUCCAAGCAAAGGAAGAAGAAGAUGAAGAAGGUGAUGGAGCUUCUCCUUCUAGCUCCAAAUCUCCACCAAUCCUCCCUCUUGAUCCAUUUCUAGAAGAGGGAGAGCUUCUAGAGAGAAAGAGAGGGUGUUUCGGGUGGUUGCAAAUGAGAGAAAUGAGAGGGAAUGAUAUAUCCCAACUCAUGCAACAAUUGCAAAAUAGCCCCUCAACUUUGUGUUUUAUGCACUGCCUGCGCUGGGCAAUUUUUUGUAUAAGGGACCGGUCCCUGGACUUGAGGGACCGGUCCCCGUAGGUUCAGAAUUUCAGCAUUUUAGGACUUAGCCAAAUUUCAGCCUUUUUCGUUUUUUCUCCAUUUUCGCUCGUUUUCGCUCGUUUGGCCUCCGAUUCUUUUCAAAUCGAACCGAGACUCUCAAAACAUAUUUUCGAGCGUAUUUUCAUCAUCUUUCCAUCCACACUAAUGCCGGAUUUAGUUCAUGGUCCAACAUAGCCUUUCAGAUCCCAUUUUCGCGCCGACGAGCUCCGAAAACGCCCGAAUGCUUUCGAACUUCACCGGAAUCAUUCUAAUGACUUUCCAAACCAACAUACCCCGCAACAUCAUAAUUUUAGAAGUUCGGUACUAUACAGUUUCUGCUACUUUUUGCACGUUUUACGAACACCGGAUGUUUGAUCCACCAUGUAGGCCAAUGGCCAUCUUUUCUUAAAAGAAGUGGUUCGAUUUGACCCGUGAGCUUAAAUCUAUGUAGAAUGUGGUUUAUGCCAGCUACUUCGUGCUUGUCCCGAACUCAUGUGACAGUGGGCCGCCCUAGAUCUAUGAUAGCAAGCGUCAAUUGGGUAUUGAUCACUUCAAGUCGGUUGAUGCAUAUUUAGUUGACAGGUUGGCCUAGACUGUCUUUGACAUAAUCGACAGUGAUAGAUCAGUAUCUUAUCAUGAUAGACAUAUAUGCUAAGUUAUUUUAACAAUAGCAUAGCGUUCAUUUUAGUUCAGUUAAUUAUGAUUACCUGACCUAUGCUUGUUGUUUUUGUUAUUGUACUAUGUUUACCGAUUUUGUCGUCUUCGGAGAUAGUGUACCCACCGAAAAAUAUUUUGCACAUUUCUCACCACUUAUUUUUACAGGUACUUCAGGUUGUGAGGUGAGGAAUGUGAUGUGAAGUCGCGGUAGAUCGAUCAUGUCUGCCACCACGAAUGACGUACCUCGCACGGUUGAUCUAAUUUUGAUUUUUACCGUGGGGUAGUAUUCAUGAUUCAGAUUAAUAUUUGAAUAUGUAUGGGAAUCAGGUUUUGUGGAUUCAUGGCUUCCAAUAAAUGCAAGCGUUUAUUGUUAAUUACCCGUAUAGAAUAUUAGGGCACCUUCGAUUAAGAGACCUCUGAAAUGCUGAAGAUAAACUGGAAUUGGACAAAAGAAAAUUUAUAAUUUAUUGCUCAAUUACAUGGCUUUAACCAAGGGCAUACUCUCAGUGUACAUGAAUAGAGCGUAAAGAAAAUGUAUUUUUCAAUUGUAUCUUAGUUAUAUAUUCUAAGAUACCCAAUANUUUUUAUUGCAGAGAUAUAAGGGGAAUCAUGCUUGUUGUAUUGAGAAAAUAUGGAGGUUUUUAUGUCUGAGAUUUUAUAGGAGAAAUCAUGGUCACUGCUACGGGAUAAUUUAGUGUGGAUCAAUGAUUGCCUGAUUAAAUUAUCUCAAAUACGGUACAUACACGAUUGACGGAACUGUGAUGGGAUAGUGUGUCUGUGCUUUACAGUAAUAGGGCAUGUACAGAUUCUGUCCAUGGCGAGAAAAACUUUCUAUCCAUUACUCUGAGUUAAUAAUAAUAAAAAUUUUCUAAAGCUUUUCCAAAAAAAAUAUAUAUAUAUAUAUAUGGCGAACUGGCCCUGUGGUGUGACAAAAAUAAUAGAAGAAACUCAGAUGAUAAAUUCGAUUACAAAACGCCGUGUUCAGUCGGCAAAGCUGCAAAUUCACUCUUUCCAGGCUGCAGAGAAAACCUCCAUCAGCAGCUAGAUAAGGUAAACGCUCCAAUAAAUUAAAAUCAAAAAACAAAUUAUCUGCAGCUUAUUGGUUGGCCUAUAGAAGACUUAAUAUAUGGCAAAGGCAAAACCAAAGAGACCAGAAGCAAACUCCCAACUGAUUGCUGUAUAACAGACUGUUUAACUAACCGAUAAAACAACAAAUUGUACAUCAGACCAGCUUUCAGAAAAUCUGAGUAUAUGCGUGUGAACGAUUACAAUUAAAUCUAUUAGAAUGUCUAUUCAUAAACCACCGAAAAAAGGGCAAAAACAGACAUAGUUCGCAAAAUACAAUGCUGAACAUCCUAUUUCAGUUAAUUACGAAAAAGGAAAUCUCUGUGUUUACAUAUGUUAAACUCCACCCAACUAAAACUAUCAAACAGAUGACCUGAAGAACUAUAGGCGUGGAAUAUCUACGGUGAACCGUGGAAUGUUAUAUCUUUUCCUCAAACAAAUUAUCUGUAUGUCCGCAACGUGUUGGAAGGAUCAAAAUGCAGCCCGCAUGGCACCACGUGCUGCCUCGCGCUUCAUCUCUGCAGCCUUUCCACUUCCUCGGAAGUACAUUAAUACUUGCUGUGCAUAUAAUGAUGAGAAAAUCAAAGUGAUGAUUACUUCAUUUUAAAAAAUUUGUUAACAUGAAAUUGAAGCUUUUUAGAGAAAAACCUUUUACCAAGCCUCAUGGAUAACUGAGUAUCCUUUAUUUACAUUAGUAGACAUUCAGUGUUUCCAUGUUGAUAAUCGAGCAUGGAAAAGACAAAAUCUAAAUUAACCAAACCAACAAGCUCCUUUAUAUAUUAAAUCCCAUUGGAAGCUAUCAUUUAGCAAAACCAUUUUACUAGUUGAAGUACUGAGAACAACCAUUGAAAAGGUGUUAUCUAAUAGUCCAACCUGCAUGACCCAGAUGCUGAGGAGUGAUUCAAGGCAAAAUAAGCCGAAUCCAAUGAAGUAGAAGAUCUGCAAGUAAAAUAGCAUGGGAAUCAGAAAAAAAAAAAAAAAAAAUUUGAAUAGGGAUUGAAGCCAACACGCAAUGACCCAGCCCACAAGUACUAGCAAUUUCUGGAGUCCAAUCCACCGGCCCAAAAUUCUAAAGCUCAAGUUAAUAGUACUAGAGUCCUUGGUCCUUCUAUACCUACACAGUCUCUUUCCCACACACAACAUGCGACUAUUAGGGCGUCACACCAAACACCAAACUCAUGAUUGUUACUGCUUCAUGUGAGCUGCAUACAGUUUGCUCUCGUGUAGCUGACUUAUAAUUUCAUUGUGUAAGUUAUAGAAAUUAUCUGAUAAACAUUAUAUAAUUCUGAACUAUUCCAGCAAAUCAUAUCUUGUACUAAAAAUAAAAUCAUACUCAUAAAGAACAACUAUCAAGGUCUAGCACAUUCAUGUAACCUAAACUUACCCCGACUAUAACACUGUCGCCAAUGACAUCAAUUGCUGGCAAAAUUCCCCUGCAGACAGUAACAGAAAAGAAUCAACAAGUGAAAAGCUCCUUCAGAUGACAUAUAAAGGAAAAAUAGAGGCUGCUUGGAUAAUAAAUAAGUCACAAAAUGGCCAUUUCAUUGAACUGGAACUCAAAAGUUCUUUAAGAAAAUGUUAGUUGUGAUUUCUCUACCAAAUAAACUCUUAAUUUUUUCUAUUUUGUCAACAAUAUAAGACAUAAAAGAAAGAUCCUAUCCUUCACUGCACUUCAGAUUUCUGUGAGUCUAGCUUUUGAAAAUAUGUGAACAGAGUAACUAAAGCAACUCUCUCUCUGCACUCAGUCAAGCAAUAUGGUAAGCUCGCUUCUGGAUAAAACAUCUUCCAUAAAAUUAACCCUGCCUAAAAGAAAGGUGUUAGUAUCCAACUGUCUGCAAUAUGUUGUUGCAACAAACUUCCGAUCAAUCCACAACAGAAAAGAAGCACAUUUAUACUAUAUAUAUAUAUAUAUAUAUAGAGAGAGAGAGAGAGAGAGAGAGAGAGAGAGAGAGAGAGAUUGAGUGGGCUAGUGAUUGGUAGUAAACGGCUCGGUUUACUACCGAUUUGUUUUUGAUGAUAGGGCUUCCAAAUCAACGAUCGGCACCGUUGAACAUCAUCUAGACCAUUUAAACUAUUUAGAAAUCAAAUUUUAUGAUUUUUUGACAUCACUAACUGAACGAUCAAAGUAACACAAAAUCUGUAAUUUUAAUGGCCAAUAUGAUGCGUUUGCUCGUUUAACGGUACAAAAGAGUUCAAAUCAACUAAAUUUUUGUCAGAAAUUUUUUAAAACUAUUUAAAACAAGAUCUAGACUGUAGAUCUUAAAUACAGAAAUUGUAUCAUCACUUUUUGAAAGAUAUUCAUUCUCAGCCAUUCUUUUUUUUUUUCACUUGAUGGACGAGAACAAUAUCGAAAAUGCGUGAAAUUUGAUUUUCAGAUAGUUUAAAAGGUUUAGAUCAUAUUUAACAUUGCCGAUCGUCGAUUUAGAAGCCCUAUCAUCGAAAACAAAUCGGUAGUAAACCGAGCCAUUUACUACCGAUAGUAUUCUAGCAAAACUCUCUCUCUCUCUCUCUCUAUAUCUCUCUCUCUCUCUCUCUCUCUCUCUCUAUAUAUAUAUAUAUAGAGAGAGAGAGAGAGAGAGAGAUAUAUAUAUAUAGAGAGAGAGAGAGAGAGAGAGAGAGAGAGAGAGUUGAGCUGGAAUACUAUUAAUAGUAUUUGAGUUUUUUUGCUAUCGAUUUUUUAGCCGUUAGAUCUAUAUUUUAAUCAAUUCCACCCUUUAGAUCAUACUAUUCAAUCAACCACUAAUUCAACCCUAGGGGGACCACCACUAAACUCUAGGGGACCACUAUCAUCCUAACCCUAUAAUUUUUUAUCCAAGGAUUAAUAACUCGAGAGAGAGAGAGAGAGAGAGUAGAGCUCCUGUGCUGUAUGUGCUUUUAAAAGCACAGAAGCUCUGUUAUCAUUGGAUCGUCUCUCGCCUCGAGAUCCGUAUGCCACUAGUGAGGGAGGCUAAUGGAGAGUCUGUUAAUCUCUCUCCUGCAUGUGAAUGCUCUGUCUCUCUCUUUCUCUCUCUGGCAGACCCCAUCUCUCUCUUUCUUUCUCUCUCGCAGACCCUCUCUCUCCCCCCUUUCCCUUUUCCUCUCUCUUCCUCUCUCUACUAGCGCUCACCUUCCCGAUCGAACGCUCCAACAACGCCAUCAUAUACACAUUUCAUUCAUUUCCAAUAUUCAACACCAUCAUAUACACAUUCCAUUUUCUUCACUACAUAAAGUUUGAACUAAAGUGUCCCGACUAAUUAACGUUUGCUACUACACCAAAAUUUCCAGUUUUACCCUAAUAAUUUUCAAAAAGAUCAAUAUAUAUAUAUAUAUAUAUAUAUAUAUAUAUAGAGAGAGAGAGAGAGAGAGAGAGAGAGAGAGAGAGAGAGAGAGAGAGAGUCUAGCUGGGGUGCUUCUAAUAGCACCAACCACUUGGUGCUACCAAGUUUUAUAUAUAGAGAGAGAGUUCGACUGGGUGCUUCUAAUAGCACUAAGCACUUGGUGCUACCAAGUUUUACACCGUUAGAUUUACCUAUUUGACUCUUACCAUCCGUUAGAUCAUACUAUUCAACCAAUCACCCACUCAAUCAUAAGAAACCACUAUCAUCCUAAUGGCACAUUCUUUCAUCCAAGAGCCGAAAACGUAAUAGCACCAAUGACUUGGUGCUAUUAGAAGUAUUCCAACCCAACUCUAUAUAUAUAUAGGGGGUCUCUCUUGGAACCCCUGUGCUGCGAUACUCAAAGGCAGCGUUUGGUUAGGGGAUAGGGAUAGGAAUAGGCUUUUAUCCCUCCCUCUAUGCCCAAACGCUAAUUUUUUACCCGAGAAUAGUAGUUCUCGGUUAUCCCCACCAACACCUCCAUUUUUCAUAUAAAACUAUCUAAAAUUGUUCUUAUCCCCAGGAACAACCCAAUUUUCAUCCAAACACUAUUUUUUUUAUCCCCAUACUUGUACCUAUCCCUGUAAUAGCUAGUUCUUACUUAUACCCGAACCAAACGGUACCAAAGGGUAUAGCGCGAGACAGAUACCCAACGGGUAUCGCGGCAAUGCCACUGUUUGCCUAUAAGGGCACGCAACAUUUUAAGUUUUAAACCCCUUUUUUUUCUUUUUUUUUUUAAUUUUGUUUGGGUCUACUUUUAGAAUUUUUUUUUUUGCUCCACACACAUCCCACUCUUUCGUUCUCUUCUACCUUUUUUUCUCCGCAACUCGUUCAUUCAAUCUAUGCUUUUCUUCUCGCUAUCUCUUCCUCUCUUUUUUUUCCUUUCUAUUUUUUCCUCCCUUUUCUUAUUAUAAUUUUUUCUCUAAUUUCUUUUUUCAAUUCCUUCUAUUUCUACUUUGUUUCUACUUAGAUCAUUUCGAUCUUACGAGAAAAGAUAAAAAAAAUAGCAAAUCAAAGAUGUACUAAUUACGUAAGUAAAAAAAAUACAAUUUUAAAUUAUUUUUCAUACAUUUUGAAUAUUUCUAACUUGUAACAUUUCUGUUUUAACGAGAUUUGAAAUUAUGCAAAUUUUUUUAUAGCUUACAAAAAUUUAAAAAUACAUCUGCUUGAUUAAGUCAUUAUGUAGUCCGAUUUUUAAUUAUUUUAGAUAAAUAUAGCAUUGGAUAUGAGAUUUACAACAAUUUUUUUUGAACUUUGCAAAUUCUAUUUUGGAUUUAGAAGAUGAAAAUUACUAAUAAAAUAAAAAACUAAAUUGAAGCAAUUGAUAUUUAAAUUUGCUUAAUUAUUUUUCAUAUGAUUUAUUGUUAAACUUUUAUGGAUAGAUCUCAGAAUUUUUCUUAGAAAUUUUAAUAAAAACUAAUUUUUUCUUCAAAUAUUUAAUAAAUAUUUUUAAAAGAUUCAAAAUUAAAAGAAAUUAUUGGAGCAAUUGUAAUGCUAUUCUAGUUAAUCUAAUCAUCAUGUAGCCUCUCGUCAAAUCAAUAUGGAUGAAUCUUACAAAUUCCAUAAAAACUUUUAGAAAAUUUCUUUUUCUAUAAUUUUGUAUUUUAUAAGUUUUUUAAGUUCUGGAAAAAAAAAGUUAAAAUCAAAAAAAAUUUCAAAGUUAAUCUAUUUUUAGUUUUUAUUCUCUAUAAGCUAUAGUUAUACUUUACAUUAUAAAAAACUUACCACUAUAUUAAUUGUUGAGUGUAGUAAGCUAUACAUUAUAAAAAAUCGUGCCAAAACGUGCAACUAGGAGGUCAUGCAUAUCCAUCGGCACGCAAGCCUGCCACGUGUCGGCAUGGAUGCAUGCCUAUGCCGUACCGUGUCAGGCGAUAACCGGCACGCUUCCAUGCCAUGACAUUUUAAUCCUUGUAUAUAUAUAUAUAUAUAUAUAUAUAUAUAUAUAAAGUCCGGCUAUGGUGCUUGUAAAAGCACCCAGCACUUGGUGCUUAUAAGCUUUCUGCUGUUAGAUUUACCCCUUUGACCAUUUCCACCUAUUCAAGGACCGAAAACACACAAGGACCAAUGACUUGGUACUUUUAAAAGCAUAGGAGCUCAAUUCUAUAUAUAUAUUCAUUUUCAGGAAUAAGGCAUUGUACAACCCAAAAAUGAUUUUUUUUUUUAUUUUGAACGCUACAUGGUAUAGGCCCGCCCAGAAAAUAUUCCCCAAUAAGAAAGUUCACCUUAAAAUAAAACAGUUUCUCCUCAUCUUGCUGACAAAGUAAUACACGUUAAAGAAGAAUAAACAGCAAAAACAAAAAGAAAAACGAAACAAAAUCUUACGUCAAUGAUUUUCCUUUGAAAGGGAUUGGAGGAGCAACAGCUGAAUAGAUACAGAAACCAAUAUGAACCUAUUUAAGAAAUAAUUCGUGAGGCAUGAACUAAUUUAUUUAAACUAAAAAAAGCAUCAGAGAAAUCUAGAAAUUGUCUCAGUAUAAAAAAGAAUGCAACAGUCUAUAUUGAACAUUGAUAGAACUUGCCAAGUAAAACAGAAAGAACCAUCCAAACUUCAAAGCACUUUCGGACCUGUAAGAUUUGUCAUAAAAAGAAUGCAAAUGUUAAGUUUAGGCAUUCCAAAGAAUUAGGCAAAAACUGUACAAAUUGAUAUUAGCCAUAGUGGAGCACCUCAUGGCACGGUAAAGAGGUCGAUACCAUAACAAAUAACCGCCUGGGCAACCUGCGAUGAAAUAUAUGAUAGCUAGGAACCAGAUCGUUACACCUGGACAUACAAGGACGAUAUAUUCAUGACAAUACAGAAGCUAACAUUUCACAGUAUAGGCAUGAAAAACCUUCAAUCAUACCUUCCCCCUUUAUCCAAGCUGCUGUAACUGCUAUUACAUUCCAAACAAGGCAUCCAACCAAUCCUUCACGAUAUACAAAAAGCAAAUAGUUACAUACUGCUGUUGUGAAACCCAAGUAAAAUUGUGGCAAUUUACUCGACCAUUCCUGCAUGACCUCCAAAAUUUGAUAUUUGGUACUCCUAACCAUGAAGAUAUCUAUUAUCAUGUUUAUAAACAAAGAGAAGACCACUAUAUCCAUGAUAUGUUCUUGUGUUUACACAAAAAGAGAAGACUAUUAUGCAGAAAACAGAAACAUCUUCUCAUCAACUUAACUGGGAGACCAAGUUUUGUUUGUCAUGAUACAAAUUAGGUUGGAGAAGUAAAUACAGCCCCCAAAACAUCCAUUCAUUAAAUGAUAUGAGCCGAAUUAAAGUGAAUUGGUAGCAACUACAAGUCAUCAAGAAAGUUUCAAGAAUGAUGACUCUAAUACACAGAUUUUCAGCAAUUUUGUAUGAGGUGCCUGCAGCACUGAAGGUUCAAACCAUCAACAGUGUGUCCAAGCCUGAAGCAUCUAAAUAUAGUAUCGAAUUAUUACAGUACGGAUGUGGUAUACCAAAAUGGACCACUACAAAUGGGGAAAAAGAAAAAAAAAAAAGAAAAAAAAGAAAAAAAAGUUCAAAAACAUAUCAAACUGAGACACAAGGUCAUCCCUGAUCAUCCUUGUUUAUAUUUUAAGUUUGACAAAGUAAAAUUUUCAAAAGGGUUUAUCAAGGUAACAACGAAAAAAAAGAAGUUGAACUAGAAAGGAUGAAGCUAAACCAACAAAAGGUAAGAUGUACCUAACAAUGAUGCAAAGGCAAAGUAUUGCAUCCUUUGCGCAUAGAUGGGUAUCUCAUUUGCAAUAUCAUGAUGAAUAAUGGGGAAAAAUGGUGGCCAAUUCUUCUCCUCUAUAACAAUCCCAGCUGUGAAGAAAGAAAGCAGGAUGAUUUGAGAUUACAUGGAAGUUAAAUAACUUUCACUUCCAAAGAGUUAAAGCUCUAGAUUUUCACUAAUUACCAAGAAAUCAAGCACACAAUUACGAGCAAGCAGAAGGAACACUUACAAAACCUCACUCACAGGCCUUUUGCCAUAUCUAGGUUAAUAUUGUUUAUCAAUCUAGAAAAAUUAUGCCUUAUUCUCACUACUCUCGAUUUAAUUUCCUCUUUUAUUCGUGCACCAAAUUACUCUUUUAGAGAUAUGACAUGUUGACCAUCUUUAACAAAGAGCAUUUCAGAAUUUUUUUCCUUCAGUAGCACCUCUCACCCAUGACAACAUCCUUGUAAAACUUCACUAUAAUUUUUUUGCCAUCCUUGCCAACACUCAGACUUCCGAAACACCAGCUCCAGGAUAAUGCUAGAGUGUAACAGAUAUCUAAAUGAUGAAAACAUACCUCGGGCUGCAGCCUCUUCCCUCCUUUUAAGUUCCUAACAUACAGAUAAAAUCAUUAGUAAUCAUUGUAUAGGACAGAUUUAGAAAAAUACUUGUAUAACACAGAGAGUCAAUAUAAGUAAACUCUUCCGUAAGAUGACAGAAAGUCAUGUAAGUUAAUAUUGACUUAUUCAUAGCUAAUGUAAAGCACAAAGAGCUACAACAAGGAAAAUUUCUGAUGUUAUCUAACAUUAAUGUAUUAACAAGAUCAUGCGAAGACUUGCAUUUAUUAACAUAAAAACUACAACGUACCCUUUCUCUCUUCUUUAGCUCAGCCUCCUUAGCUUGAAGUUCCUUCUCCUUUUUCUUCACAUCCUAUGAUUGAUAUAUGAAAAGAAGGAAUUAUAAAAUACAGUACUAAUUACCUGCACAUAAAAUUGUCUAUGGGUAAAUUCUUCAUAAAAGUGUGCUGCCAUAGGGACCAAAAAAAGGAUUCAAAAAUAGCAAAUAGUGAUGGCUUAGGCCAUACACUAUGAAACCAACAGAUGAAAUCCAUUGAUGCAGCAAAAAGAGGCGUUUCAUGUAUACUCUUGCAAAAUAAUAUAUAUAAAUGUAUACCCUUACAUUUAUACCCUUACAUAUAUCCAUUGAUGUAGCAAAAUAGAGGCAUUUCAUAUAUACUCUUGCGAAAUAAUCUAUAUAAAUCUAUACCCUUGCAAACCUUCAAUUUUUCUAUAAAACUGCACUUAGGGCCUGUUUGGUUCCUUGAAAAAUAGUAAAAAACUAUUUUUCCGAAGAAAAAUAAUUUUUGUGGAAAAGAAAUUUUCUAGUUUCUAUUAUUUGGUUCGAUAGAAAAGAAAAUUAGUUUUUCAUGUAUGCACGUUUGGUUGGUAAGAAAAAAAAUGAAAAACAAUAUUUCUUUUCUAUUUCACUUGUUUGGUUAGUUGGAAAUUUUGAUAUAUAAACACCUUCUACAAAAAGAGGGUGAGAUUACCAACCUUUUGAAAUUUAUUAACAUAAUACUCACAAACUCUUUACAAUAUAAAUAAUAAAUAUUUAAAUAAAAAUAAAUUUUAACUAUAUUUUGGUAUAGAUAAUAUAAUUUGACAAAAGAGAUGGAUAUGAUGGAGAUGACAGAUAUGAGAUGCAGAUUAUUCUUCCGUGUGUGUGUAUAUAUAUUAAAAAAAUUUAGGGCUAUAUAUAUAUAUAUAGAAUUGAGCUCCUAUGCUUUUAAAAGUACCAAGUUAUUGGUGCUUGUAAAUUUUUAGCCAUUGGAUUAAGAGAUAUGCGGUUAGGAUGAUGUGGGCCCCCUAGGGUUGAGUGGAUGGUUGGUUGAAUAGUAUAAUCUAAUGGUUGAAAAUGAUCCGAGGAGUAGAUCUAACGGUAAAAAACUUACAAGCACUAAGUGCUUGGUGCUUUUACAAGCACCAUAGCUGGACUCUCUCUCUCUCUCUCUCUCUCUCUCUCUAUAUAUAUAUAUAUAUAUAUAUAGAACUAGGCUGGUAUACUAUCGGUAGCACGGAGGCCUCCGUGCUACCAAGUUGUUUUCAAUGAUGUGGCUUCCAAAUCGACGAUCGGCUCCAUUAGACUUGAUCUACACUAUUGAAAAUAUUUGAAAACAAUUUUAUAAUUUUCCGAUAUCAUUUGGCUAGUGAUCAAAAGAUUUCAAAAUUGAGAAUUUUAAUGGUCGAUGUGAUGCGUUUGUGAAUUUAACGGUGUAAAACAAUCCAAAUCUGAUGAAAUUUUUAUAAAAAAUUCUUUUCACUAUUUAGAGUAAUAUCAGUACCUUUGAUCUUAAUUCAAGUCUUUUAUCAUCAUUUUUAUGAGAUUUUUAUUUUCAGCCAUUCACUUUUAGACUGCUCGUUUGAUAGAUAAAUGAUGUCGAAAAAUUAUGAAAUUUAGUUUCCAAAUACUUUAAAUAGUGUAAAUCAAGUCUAACGGAGCCGAUCGUUGAUUUGGAAGCCGCAUCAUUGAAAAUAACUUGGUAGCACGGAGGCCUCCGUGCUACCGAUAGUAUACCAGCCUAGCUCACAUAUUUACCCUGCAUAUUCUGUUUACACAUUCCCAUCUUCAAUGAAUAAUUUUAAGAAUGAAGAUUGACUUCUUGGGUGGAGGUUGACUUGAGGAAAUCUUAGCAUGUUACUAUGUUAGAUGCACAAAUGAAGUGAUUAACUCAAUGUACAUUGAAAGGCGGUAAAAAGACCAUAAUAAUACAAUAUAGACCUGAACCUGUAUAUUACAAAAAUGAACUAUCAACUGAGAAUCCCUUACUACUGAGAAAAUAUAACCAGUUACCCAGCAAUCAUUAAAAAGCAUUUCGAGCAUCAAGUUAUACAACAAAUAUAUCAUGGAUUGAAUGUUGCUGCAACAAAGAUUUGAUCCACCCACAUAAUUCUUCGCAGAUAUUUCACUUGUAGAAAGUUGAUAGAGCAGCACAAAGUAGAACUCACCUUUAGCUGAAUACAUCUUUCACUUAGGAUCCCCUUUUCAUAAUCCAAAAGGAUUCCAUGAUCAAGUAAAUAUUUACGGAAUGCCAUCUUCAGUGCAAUUUCAAUUGCGGUGGAUCCAUUGUCAGAAUAGAAAGUUCGAGAAGCCCAGCCUGUCCAAUAUGACCCACAAAAAAGAGAAAAAAAAAGGGAACACUAAUUAAAGUCAAGACAUAACAGGAUUGGUUCAGAUGGUUUGGACAUCUCUAACAGGUCACCAAUAUUCAGGUAGAAGCACAAAAAGCUGGCAGAAAAGAAAAAGACUUAACGAGAAAUGGUGAAAACACAAAAGAUUGAAAAAAAUAAAAUGAAUAUAGAGCAUUGUCUGAGAUAGAGCAGAAAGGGAUCAUGUAGCAGACCCGAUUUAGUACGAUAUAAAGCUUUCUCAACUUCAUCAUUUUACAAGUCCUAUUGGAGGCAGACAUUCUGCCCUGAAAAUACUUUUGCAUGCACAAAAACAAGUAAAUUAUUAACCUUUUCCAACUCCUCCAAGCAGCACUUCAGCACAAUGCAGUGCAGGCUCAUAUACGUUUUCAGGAAACAUUACAUGGCCAUACCUCGCAGCAGAAUAACCCAUAUCUCUGGCAAGCUCAGUCUGAAACCNUGUAUAUAUAUGUAUACAUACAUAUGUAUAUAUACAUAUGUAUAUAUACAUAUAUAUAUACAUAUAUAUACAUACAUAUGUAUAUAUGCAUAUGUAUAUAUACAUAUAUACAUAUAUAUACAUAUAUAUACAUAUAUAUGUAUAUAUAUAUACAUAUAUAUGUAUAUAUACAUAUAUACAUAUAUAUAUAUAUAUGUAUAUAUAUAUGUAUAUAUAUAUAUAUAUAUAUAUAAGUUUGGAGAUAUAGAGAUGACGGUGGGAGAUGGUGGAAAUAACGGAUUGGGUGGUAAACGUACACCAAUAUAUUAGAAAAAAAAAAAUUGAAAAAUUAUUUUCCAUAUUUCACGAAAAACACCCUUUUUGUUUUCCAAAUUUUAUUUAGGAAAACGAAAACUUUUUUCUCACGAACAUUUCUCAUGAAAAAAAUUAUUUUUCUUGCGAACCAAACACACGCGAAAAAAAUUUUCCAACCUAAAAAAAAUUUUCGGAGGUAUUUUCCAAAGAACCAAACAGUCCCUUACUGUAAGUUGGGGGAUUAUCCAAUUUGUGGGGGCAAAUUGGUUUUAUACUUCAAUGAGUUUUUCAAAGAGGGUUAUUUUGUAUACAUACAUAUAUACAUAUAUUGGUAUAUACAUAUAUACAUAUAUCUGUACAUGCAUAUAUAGAACUAGGCUCCUAUGCUUUCGAAAGUACAGAGGCCUCCGUGCUCAUAAGUUGUUUUCGAUGAUAGGACAUCCGAUUCAGUGAUCAGUUCUGUUAGACAUGAUCUACACUAUUGGAACUCUUUAGAAACCAAAUUUCAUAAAUUUUUGACUUUAUUUAUCUAGUGAACGAGUCCUCAAAAUAAACGGCUGAAAAUAAAAAUCUCAUAAAAAACAGUGAUAAAAGACAAAUUUCAAAUCAGAAGUAUUGAUUUGCUAUUGAUGUUAAGUAGAAUUUUCAAUUAAAGAUUCAUGUAAUUAAGAUUGUUCUACGCCAUUGAACUUAAAAACAUGCCACAUCAACCGUUAAAAGUUAUUUUUGAGACAUUUUGAUCACUUGGUAAAUGAUAUCGAAAAAUUAUGAAAUUUGCUUUCUAGAUAGUUCCAAUAGCGUAGAUUAUGUCUAACGGAGCCGAUCAUCGAAUCGGAUGUCCUAUCAUCAAAAGCAACUUACAAGUACAGAGGCCUCCAUACUUUUGAAAGCAUAGGAGACGUACUCUCUCUCUCUCUCUCUCUCUCUCUCUCUCUAUAUAUAUAUAUAUAUAUAUAUAUAUAUAUAUAAAUAUAUAUAUACACAUACAUAUAUAUAUAUGGAUAUGAAUAUAAGAAAUCAACAUUUUUCAGUGCAUCUCUACCAACCAUUGAAGUAUCAAGAGGGAUGUCAAUCGUUGGACCAUAGUCGUUGUAGAAGUCAACCGGUUCGGGUGGAAGAGGUGAGAGCCGAGAAUUUGAAGUAGGAGGCAGAGUAAAUGUAGGCUACCCAUCAACCAAAAGAAGGUAAUAAAAAAACCAAUAACAAAAUUUGAACAUGAAAGCAGCCCUUAUUUGCAUUUAAACGAAAAGUCACAUAGUGGAAAUGUAGUUAAUUCUAAAACAGUCAGAAGGACUUACUGUUUGAAAGAAUGGACCUCCACCAUAACUAGAUUGUCCAUUUGCCUUUCCACCAACAGCUGGCUCCUGGUUGGCGCACACAAAGUAAAAAAAAAAUUAAAAAAGAAAGGAAGAACCAAAAUAUUUAUCCACCAUUUUAAUUAACUAUUAGAUGCAAGCUAUAUAUGCAAUAUUGUAAAAGGUUCCAUGCCUAAUAGCCUAUCAAUGGACCUUACAGGUUCCGAGUCUGAGGAACAUGACACAACCUGACCAGACAGCAUAUUGACUUCUAUCGCUUUUUUUCCUCUAUUAUUUUCACAUCUUUCUCCUUUUAUCCAUAUUUUUCCCUCUUCUUAUCUUGUUUCACAUUGACUUUCUGCUUGCGAAAUGCCGAUCACGCAAAAUUAGGCUUACCUAAAUUCUUUGGAUGCUAAAUCUGGACCAAACAGUGUAACCUUAUCUCAUCCAUGAGACUCCAGGGAAAUUCAAGUUUCGUAAAGACAUGCAUCCAAAAAUUUGAAAUUGUACCCCAAGAACAAGCAAAGUAGAAAAGAUCUUCCCAUGAAGAAGAUUAUAACCAGAAAAGUCGAAAACAAAAAUCCUAACUUCUUUUCCUCUCUCAUUUUUAAGCCACCAUUUGUUUGAAGUAUAAGGGUAAAAAAGGCUUGAUAUAAAACUUUACUCCUACAAAACAAAAUAACAAACUAACAGUACAUAAUAGAGGUGAAUUGCGAAGCAAGCUAAUAUUGUGUUAAGUUUUACUUUAUAGUCCACUAGCUUUUAUCUUGUGAAUGUGCAAUUUCACUCUUCAAACUUACUACCAACCCAGCCAAAUUUAUCCACAUCGGAAAAAACAAAGAGGUAUGGUAUUAUAAUGAUACGAUAACACUUCCUUGUCAGUCUUCUUAAAAGAAAAGGCGUACAGGAAUGGUCAACUUGGAGUCAGAGUAUACACGACAGAGCAUAGACAGGAACCUUUUUGUAGUUUUUAUUGUAAAGACAGUCUCCAAAAUAUUCAAUAAAAACACCCUAGCAGCCCCCUUUGAAUCAUUGGAAUAAGAGGAGUUCAACAGAAAUAAGGAUAUAUCAAUUAGAACUAAACUUGUGUCAUAUUAAACACUUGAAAUUCUUGCACUAAUCCGAUUUAUCUAUCCUACAGCAAAAUCACAACAUGUGAACAGUGAGCCACCAGGAACUGUAAUGGUUUUAGGUACGACAUGGCAUGGAUUCAACAAUACAACAAACGAUAAUUUUUGUAGGAUAUGAUAUAUAGGGGAUACAAUACUGGAAAAUUAUUCCAAAUAUAUAUAUACGAUUAGUGACAAAAUAUAUAAUAGUACUUUCAAUAAUUAGAGAACAUAAAGAAAUAAACUUUCUAUGUUAUCAAAAAGUAUAAAAAUGUAAUCGAGUUUUGUCCACAAACUAAGAAAAUUAAUCACAUGAGCAUUAAUUAAUCACAUGAGCAUUAAUCCCGAGUUUCAUCAACCCAGGAUACAAGAUCAUCCAAAUGCGUAAGUGUUAAGACUAUUUUGGGUUGUCUCCUAUGACAUCGAUUAUUUUGGAAAUACGGUAUCAAAGCACGUCCUAAGCCCCCUCCACACUAUUAUAUGUCGCACAAUCUCCACUAUCCACGCGAGCAGGAGUGUCAAGACUAUUUCUGUGUCAUUUCCUAUAAGAUUAACCCUUGGGGAUCUGGGCCACUUACUAACAAUUUCAACAUUAAUCAAACCCAAAAGGCAGAACACUGUGUCCCACAUAUAUCCCGCAGUUAUUCUUUUGAGUAUCAAGGUAUUCACUUUUAGGUCCUAUUUGGUAUGGAACUAGAUAAAUAAGGUUUUUAUUCCUCUUGUCCUCCAAAAGAGUAUCAAAAACUCUAGUUUCAAGAGUUAGGAUGGAACUAGUGUUGUCACCUCUUAACAUUUGGAUGAUUGAAUGUCAUUUUAGAAUAAAUAUCUGGGUUUUUUUUUUUCAAUGGUCGCCGACUAAAGUGUAAUAUAUGUAAAAGUUUGAGAACUAAAGUGUUUAAGCUAAAAGUAAAGUUGUCAUAUGAGGAUAGUAUGGAACCCUCCGUACAUUAUACCCUUCUUAUCCAUAAGAACACCCAAUUCUCAAUGAAACUUGAAAUUCCUCUACUUCCUUAUUCCAAAAUUGUAAAAUUGUAAUUGAUAAUGUAUAAGGAAGAUGUGCUUAUUCCUCAACUAAAUAAUACAUUAAAAUAUGGAUACUCCUAUUUAGCAUCUUACACAUGUCAGGUGAGUAUAGGUAUUUGAUAGCAAUCCAACAUGUACACAACUACUACUGUAAAGUAUAUGUGCACAAUAGACUAAGUACAUAACAAGGUUGUAAAUAGCAAAUAACGAGUGCAUAGCAGUUGGGUAGUUUCAUAGCAGAUAGCAGAUAGUAGGUGCUAUAGAAGCCACUAUAGGCCCACAACGGGAGUCUACGAGAAAAUACUAAAAUGUUUACAUUUCUAUUUAUAUUUGCAUCUAAUAUAAUAUAAAUAAAAGACCUUCUUUAAAUAUAAAAGCAAUGCAAUUGCAAAUUUCUCUACAUUGAAUUACCUAAUUGCGUUUGAAUCAACAUAGUGACUACCAGUAAAUUCUCAUGGUCGUUAGUGAGCCACGACUAUUCGCUUGUCAAGCCACACAAAGAAAAAUGCUAGUUUCCUCAUUCGAUCCAGAUAAAAAAUAUGUUUGAAUGUUUCGUUUUGUGCCAAUAAGUCCUACUUUGGGUAGGUCUUUAGUUGUCAUGGAACAAAACUGGCCUCUGGAAACUUUUAUCAAUUUGAUACUAAGACACCCAAUGUGAACCCGCUAUAAUAGCGCCCGUCAUGAUCCCAAUUUACUAAAAAGCCUUUCUUGUUGCAUAUCGUAGCGUUUACCCUUUGAUAUUACUAUUUAAAACAAUAGUGUGUGUGUGGCGUUUACCCUUUGAUAUUACUAUUUAAAACAAGUGUGUAUAUAUAUACUACUUAUAAAAGAGGGAGUUUUAAAAUUUUUCCUUUCUCAAAAUGUUACUCCCUAUUAAUAUAAUUUCAAUUACAUACUAAUAAUAUCAUUCAUUAAACUUUUAUGAGAAUUAAUCACAGCUGUACAACUUUUAUUUUAUUUUCAAAUUAUCAUAAAAUGUAUUAAUUCUUAGUUAUUGGAUCUAAUCCAAUGGCCAACGAAUUAAGUAUCUGUCGUUAGCAUUAAUUUUAUAACAGUGAAUUAAAACUUCAAAUUAGCCCAUGGGCUUCUUGGGCAGCCCAAGGGAGCCUGUGCUUAGGUUUCCACAUUUGAGGUUUAGUCCCACAUUGAAAAUCAAAGGUUUAUUGUGGCUCUUUAUAUACUCUCUCACUCUCAACUUAGGUGCUUGGGAGAACAUGAGAGUAGAGCUCUCGACUAAACACAUGCACACACAGGCACAAGCACGAGCCGGGCCAAGCCGCGCCGUGGCGCGCGUGAACCCGGUUCAUUUACACCUUUUAUUUUAUUUUAUUUUUAUUGGAUUUUAAUAUUAUUUAAACCUAAUGAUGGCCUUACCUUGGGAAAGACCCAAACAAGAUAUUGACCGGAUUUGAUGCAACCUCGGUAAGGGUCCAUAUCUUGAGCAAAUCUUGCCAUUGGACCCUACCAUUGGACCUUACCUAUAUAAGAGAGGAGAGGGUGUAGUGGUCUGUGUGAAGGACUUGGACUGGGCUUCAUGCUUCAUCUUCUUCCUCCUCUACUUGUACACUAAGCUUCAAUCUUUUCUAUACUGAAUUUCACCUCUUUCUAUACUGGACUUUUUACACCAAGCUUUAUACAUUUCGUUGGAUCUUCUAAAGCCUACUGGGUUCGUAUUGCGCUACCCUAAAGACGUACCAACGGAGUGGACAGUGGUCGUUGUAUCGCUAGGAGUGAUUGCCGGAGCCUCACACGUGGAGGGACAAUCUCGCUUCUAGGACAGUGCUUUCGCACGCCUCGACUCACAGACCCCAUCUAAUCUCUUAAUCUCUAUAGUAUUAACUAUUUAAUUUUUGCUUUCGGUUUUCAAAACUAAAGUUAAAUUAUUUUCAUUCAAAAAUUGUUUAAAAGGAUAUUUUACUAAAGAUUUAGAAAGAUAGUUUUCCAACAUCCGUCACUUUUUUUACCUAAAUUGCCCUCUGAGUACCAAUAUUCAUAUUCCAUCUUAUCUAAUAACUUAUCUAAUAAUAAUUCUCUUUACACUUCAUACUUAUCUAUACUAUAUAUAAAACAUAUAAAAAUUCUUAUAAUAUCAGGCAGAACUUAAAAAGAAAUAAAAGAAUAUUUCUUACCAACGGUUAUGAUUAAUUUGUUAAAAAAUAUCUCAAAUAAAAACGAAUGGUUAUGAUCGAUCUAUUAAAAAAUAGAGUUCUUAUUUAUCAAUAUAUCAAAUCCUACGAAUGGUUAUAAUUAAUUUAUUAAAAAAUAUUUCAAAUAAAAACAAAUGGUUAUGAUCAAUUUGUUAAAAAAUAGCAUUCCUAUCCAUAGAUUUUACAUUAAAAUUAAAAUUUGAGUUUUAAUCAUGAAUUUAAUUUAAUUUUGAAAAUCAAACUUGAAUUAACAAUUAAAAAAUUUUAAUUACAGUGGAUCAAAAUUGAAUUUUAACAAAUUUAAAUUUAUAAAUUUUGAUUAUUAAAUUUGAAUUAACAAUUAAAAUAUUUAAUUAUGGUGAAUUAAAAUUAAAUUUUAAAUUUCAAAGUAAAUGUGAAUUAAAUUUUGACGCUUUUAUUUUAAACAAUAUACUUAAAUUUCAAAUUUAUCAGAAUUCAAAAGAUAUAUAAAAAUAUUCAAUGUAUAUAUUGAAAAAAUAAUAUAGGAUAUUAUAGAUAUUUUUUGAAUAAAAAAUAACAUAUAUAAAUUUAUAAAACAUAAUUUUUAUUGUAAAUUUUUAUAUAAAUAUAAUAUAUAAAUUUAUAUUGAUUUGAAAUGAAUUAAAAUAAAUUUUACGUGUAUUUGCACGUACACUCAACUAGUAUAUAAUAAAUACAUCAGACUCAGCUCUCAAAGAUAAAAACGAAUGAAUCAAAAACUGGUGUUGAAAUUCUAGGGUGUUCAAAUUAAUGAUGCGCAGGAUCAACAAACCAACCGAGACAAAGAAUCCGCCCGGAUACGUAAUAAUCCGACAACCGCGAGAGUAAGUAGAAAACCUAAACGACCGAAUUUUGAUCAAAAGGAGAAACGACUCACCGAGAAGGGAUUAACCGUCUCCUCCUCCUCGUCGAACGGGUUGGGGUCGUAACGUCGCGCCAUGAGAUGUUAAAAUCGCGCUCGGAGAAGGAAAUCGUGAGGGUUUGGAGGCUCUAUCGAUCGAUCUCCUGCCCUUCUCUCGGACGGUUUUUGGUGGGUUUUCGCCUUUCGGCGAAGCAGACAACGCGGUAUGCAGUCAGUUUUGUGGACUUUCUUUUUGUUUUGUUGGCCUUUUCUAUUCGCCGUGCAGACGGAAGCUUCUACGGCGACCUCACCACACACGCGCGCACAAAUUAUUUCCUGAACCUGCUGUAUGUAUCUGUACAAGUACCCAUUUGUGUAAUAUUUUUUUAUGGGCUUUUUUUUGCAAUUGGACCCCUAAAAAAAAUUAUUUUUAAAAAAAUCCCAGCAAAUUUAUAUUUACAAAAAUGGUUCAGUCCCUGCCACGCAAGCACCACGUCAGCGCAACACGAGCUGGGUUGGGGGCGGUAGUGAAGUUAAAUACGGUGAACCAUUCACCGUGUCACCGUGUUUAGAGCUAGUACGUAUCUUUUGCAAUAUAAAUAUUAAAAAGAGGAAUAGGAAGUAGGAAUGUCAAUGGGUAUGGAUAUCCGAAAUAUUAUUCGAACCCAAACCCGAAUAAAUUAUAUAUAUAUAUAAUUUAUUUUUAUUUAUUUAUAUAAUAUAUAAAAUAUUUAAUAAUUUUUAUUCCUUAGAUCUUCAUCCAACGGUAUAGAUUUUUAAAACCCGCUGGGUUUAGGUUUGGGUUUCAAGUUUUUAGUCGGAUAUGUAUAUGGGUGUGAAUUUUUAAAAUCCGUUGGGUUUGGGUUUUAAUUUGAUUUUUGGGUUCGAGUUCGGAUUUUUGAAAAAGAGAAAAAAAAGGAAUACAAAUAUAAAACACGGCGAACCAUUCACCGUGUUUGAACACGGUGAAUGGUUCAUCGUGUUCAACUUAACACACUGGCUCCCGCCCUACCCGCGUGGCGCUGAUAUGGCGCAUGCGUGGCAGGCCCAGGGCCAUUUUUGUAAAUUAAAUUUUGAUAGGGCUAUUUUUAAAAUAAAAAUUUGUCAGGGGGCUAAAUGCAAAAAAAGCCCUAACUAAAGCUAAGCUAUUCAAUAAUAACUUAUUUUAUAUAAUUUUUUUAAAAUAUUAUUGCAUCCGAAUCAUACCACAAAGUUAAAAUUUUAAUGGACUAGAUAUAUUGAAAAAAUAAAACUAUACCAAAAAUUCAGUUUUAAAAUUUAUUACGUAUUCGAUAUGAUAUCAUUCAUAAAAAUAAACUAUCAAAAAUGAAAAAAAUUUUAUUUCUAAUAUUUUUUUAAAUUCCAAGCAAUAUAUCUUAUCGAAUAAAUUGUUAUAUAUAGAGAGAGGAGAGAGAGAACUAAGCUCGCGUGCUUUUAAAAGAAUAGAAGUUCAGCAGGACUAUAAUUUUUUAGUCGUUGGACCGUCUCAAGAUUCGUACAAUAUUAAUAAAAAAUUAUCUAAUAAAAUAUUACCUUUACUAGUAAUGCACGGAUAUUGAGGAGAUCCAAUGACUAAAAAGUCAUAAUCACAAAUAUUCAUGUGCUUCCAAAUAAAUAGCAGCUCAACUCAAUAUAUAAAGGUAUACAUAUACAUAUACAUAUAUAUGGAUGAUUUUAUGAUAAGUUUUGGUGCACAGUAUAAGAAAGGCAUGUAUACACCAGGUGAAGGGAAUUCCUUCGUUACAGCUGCAGAGAAAACAGUUCGCGGGCGAAGGCGUUUCAACGGGGAGAACCAAUACCAUCAUGGUACACGCCGUGUUGGGCUAGAAUUCCUCCUUCUCUCGCAAGGGUAAAAUAAAAAAAAAUAAAAAAAUAAUUCAUGCAUUCAGUAUGGUCGUUGAUUAGCCUUGCAGAUAAUUUUAGACCUUCACAGAUUUAGGAAUAAAUUAUAACAGUAUAAUAUUUUUAAUUUUUUAUAUUUUUAAUUUUGUCAUCAUUAAUAUGUUCCUUCAAAAAUCAUAACAGUAUAAUGUAAUUGGGAUAAAAAUGUCAAAAUACAUCAUAGAAAAAUUUAGGAUAAAUCCUAAACCCACUCAAUUUUAAAUUUUAAAUAUUUAAUUUUAAAUAUUUUUGAAAAAGCAAGUUGUCACGUCCUUGGUUGAAAUGAUUCUAUAAUUUUUUUAAAAAUCUAAUCUUUCAAAAUUUUAUUUUGAUUAUCCAAUUUUUCGAUAUAUUAGAUUUGAGUCGGUCGAUGGUAUUUUGAUUUUAAAAAUCUAAGAGCAUAGCUUUUCAAUGUAUUAGAUUUGAGUCGGUUGAUGACACUUUGACUUUAAAAAUUUGAAUGCAUCGCUAAACUCUACAGAUUUAUAUAGCAUAUUUUAUAUGAUUUUUGUAACUAAAUUUUAUAAAAUAUAAAAUUAACUGAAACGCCAUCGAUUUUUUUAUUUUUUAAUGUACAAUCUAUAUCUAAAUACUCAACGGUAUAAAAUUAAAAUUUAUAUUUAAUAAUCAAAAAAAAAAAUUAUAUUUAAUACAAACAGUCUAAACUAUUUUAAAAUUAUUUAUAUAUUUUAAUUUUUAUAAUAAUAAAUAAAAAUUAAUUGGACUUAAAAAUGUAAUAUGUCGAAACCCGGCUACAUUGCUAAUCUUGAUAAAAAUGACCAAGAUGAUGCAAAAAAAUGAAAAUUAAAUGUUUUCAAAUUAAAUUGGUAGUUUGGGCAUAGAGUUUAGCAUGUUUUGGAAGUGUUGGGAUGAAAUCGGAGCGAGCCGGGCUGCCAGAGCUGUUGCUGCUGCCAGUAGAGACUGAAUUGCGAAACUGUAAGGACUGAAAUGUAAAUCUGCAGGUUGCAAUGCACUUUUGCAAUUUUCAGGGGCUAAGUUGCAGUUUUUUGGUCUUAUCUCUUUAAAUCUGAUGUUUAUCACUUAACCCCAGCCUACCUGAGGUGGUCCACGUAGCAGGGCACCUUUCCACAUCUUUCUUUUUCAUCUCUUCUCUUUCUUUCUCCCUCAGCCACGAAGCAAAUCGGUGGAAUUGCUGAAAUUGAAGUCUAUGCUGUUGGAGCAGGGAAUUAAUUGGAGAACCUCGAAAUUAAGGUAAAUCUCUGGUUUAAUUAGGUAAUUUUAUCAGCCCUAAACAGAAUUAUAAGCCAUAAAAGUACUGUUUUAUGUGUAGGAACCGUGAGGAAAAGAGGUAAUAAGAAGAAAAUGGGAAUUCGGGCUUUGAGCUGAAAAGAAAGCUUCGAAGAGGAGUUUUGGUUAUUGGAGUUGUCACGCCCCGGGGUCCCUUUUCAGUUUAAAACAAAGCGGAAAGCGACUGAAAUUUUUUUUAUUUGAAAACCUGACCCCAGGGUAUGCCAGAUCCGCCACAAAUACAGGGAAUCCACUGUUCACACGGACAGAGUCUCCCCUAUAUUUGCACGGCGUCGAUCAAAUACACAGUACAACCAGGAUACAACCACAACCAGAUGAAUAUAAGGAUAACUAUACAUUCAUACAUACAUCAUUCACAUCACAGUUUUACAUUCAGUGUUUAAAUAGAAAAUCACGAAAAUUCUUUUGAAAACUGUUCCCUACACGGAAACCUUUAUUCUUUAAGAAACGCUACCACGAGGGGUAGAAAACUUUUUAUUUCAAGAAAUCACAAUUCCUUUAUUACAUUCCAAAACCAACUGAAAACUCAGAUAUUCAAUUAAUAAAACAAAACUGAACCAUGUAGACCGACUAAGCUAUAAAUAUCCACAGAAAUAAAAAGGGUAAUAGCUAAAUCGAAAUAACCUGGGUCGGAAGCUCUAUCGACCGCUACACACGUACCUCACGUCUCGUCCCACUACUCAACGCCCGCGAUACCUGAAAAAUGGUGGGGGAGGUGAGAACAUGUAAACAUGUCUCCCCUCCCAGUGGGUACCGCAAGCCGAAGAAGGCGAGGAGUACUCACCGGAUCAGGAAGAGAUAACCAACAGUAUGGGUAAGUAAAAUACAGUAGCAACGAUAAUGAACGAACGAGAUAUAUAUAUAUGGAAACACAACUACCGCUACUGUAAUGUACAACUACAAGCAUACCAGGGUAUCAAAACUAUAGUAGCAAGACAACUGUAAAGAAAGAACUAGAAGUACAUAUGCAACAACCGCUACUAUAGCUAUAUGCGUCAACCGGACGAGAAGUCCAAAAGUACCCAAUCUAAACCGCCGUGUCGGUCUAAGGACCUCAGGCAAAAGCCACUAUCUGCUCACACCUGGCAUGUAACCCUAGCACAAAGAGAACACCGCUGGGCUCACGGGUCGGAUGUACGACCACUUUUCCGGAAAAGAACACCCUCCUGCGGGGGAUCAACCCGCUGGUGUACGUGAAAUGCACUCGAGCUGUGGCGAUCAAUGCGGAUAUGAUCAAUAGCCAACCGUCGGCAAUCAGCCGACAAUCACUGCCCCUCUGGGCAUACCGACCGUGUAGGUCAUCAAGUAACAACGUGAACCGACCGAGAUAGGUCAAUGUACGGAAAGUAACGAACGACCAAACAGGUCACCGAUGCAAAUAGGAGAACCGACCAACCAGGUCACAAGUAUAGUAUAUACGAAUGCCAUCUACUCUACCCCUAUACAGGAUACUACACAUAGAACAACCAGGCAGAGUAAAUAAAGAUAGUAUGUAGAUACUGCUCGAUGUCAACUAAAAGUACGAACGCAAGAACCGACCGAUAGGUCACAGGAGUGUAUUCGAUAUAGUCCAGAACUACCGUCAGCACCAGCCGACAAUCCUACCCCUCAGGGUACACCGACCUCAAAGGUCAUCGAACAACAGAAGUCAACAAAUAGACCAACCCAAUACAUAAUGCAACAACCGACCAACCAGGUCAACAGAUAUAAGAUAAAAGCACCGAUCAACUAGGUCACUGAAAUGAAGUACGAGAACCGACCAAUCAGGUCACCGAGACAAAGUACGAGAACCGACCAAUCAGGUCACCGAAACGAAGUACGAGAACUGACCAAUCAGGUCACCGGUAUCACAUAAGGAUAAACUACUCUACUCCUACACAUGAUACUAAGCAUAGAAACAUAUGAGUAGAGUAUGAGAGAAACAACGGGGGUGCAAGCUCAAUAUAUAAUACGAAAAUAGCAAUAGAAGAACAGGGAUAGAAGAAAUAUCACCGAGCGUGCACCACUGUACCGACUUCGGAUCGAAGUACCCACCUGUCACUGUCGCGUCGGAACACUGGGUACGCACAAGUCGACCGGACCUACGAAGAUCCCACGGGUCAGUAACCAACCCACUCACCUGAAGUACACUGUCUCACAAACCCCACACAGAACCCCGUAUCGGUUUCCCAAAAUCGAUCAUCGUAACUCACCGAAAGUCCCGAAAACCACACCGGGACGCCGUCGGGACCCACUAAGUGUCCCGAACUCACCGACUCGUGCCACGAGUCACCUGCUGCCCCAAAACACUCCAAUUUGGAUGUUUUGGUAGUAAACACAAGAUAACACCCCUACACAAUUAUCGCCGGAUAAUUGUGCGAAUUCGGGUUCCCGGAAGUGUCUAUUUCGACACUGGAACCCACCGUCGCUCACCCAUCAUCACCGAACCCACAAUGUGAUGAUGGUGACCUGCCAACAAGGCUCAGCGACUACACAAUAGCUCACAAAGCAUCGUCGGAAUAAUUCCGAACCGAACCCGCGUUCCGUCGGCGGAUUUCGCCGAAAAACGCACCGGAAAUGCAUUUCCGAUCUUCG
rnacentral:lncRNA from 1 species